CCAAGAUUACUCAUGCAAUUAGCUGGACACAUCUGAGGUUUUACACACUAGCAAACAAAGAGCACACAUGGAAUUUUAUGCCAUGAAAACUUGCUACAUCUUUUUUAUUUGGAAUACAGAGAGAAAGAAGGGUCGUUGCGCGACCGAACUAAACACACACCACGUUCUUAAUGACUCGUGCCACCCCAUGAAUCAGAUCGUGCGUGCAUGAUCUACAGCUCCACUAUUUAACGCGUGUGAUCCGAUGGGCCAUGCCAUCCCAUGACUCGGUUCACGGCACGGCAGAAACUGGAGCGACCCCAACCUGAUGCAUCGACUCGACGCAAGCAUGCUUGCCGUCAAGACCGACUCUCAGUGCAUACCGCGUGCUAGCAGGCACUUCUGUGGCGCGUUAUUUGGAACAAACAAAUUGAAAGGGAAAAAAGGCAUGCACUAAGUUUACUUCAAUGGAUGAGCCCUCGAUCCACAAACCCACAUCGUGAAGUGGUCUUAGUGGAUCUCGUCACUCUUCAAGUCGAUCUCGUCGUUCUCCGAGCCGGAUAAGUGGUUGUCCACCUGCUCGUGCCUAGCCUGCAAUGCCGUCAACCACAAACACCACAUCCAGAUUCCGUUACAUUCCCUCAUCACCCAGGCAGAAAAAACUGAAAAUCUUGGAAAAAAGAAUGGAGAUUGAGUUCAUACCCUCCUCAUCUGGGCACGACGGUUCUUGAACCAGAUUUUGAUAUGCUGGGGCUCCACGCGAAGCUCGCGACUGUGAUGAGCGCGCUGGGCCUCAUCGGGGUUGGGGCACUCAAUGAAAACACUGCAGUUUUCAAAAAAAUAGAAGUAAAAGAAAACCAUGAAUACCCUGCACAUGAAGCACCAUGCAAAUAUGACACGAGAAAUAAGUUGUAGGAAAUGGUGCUUGAUCAACCUCUCGAGGAUCUGAAUCUGGUUGUCACUUAGAUCCAUUGUUACCAAUUUCUUGCUUGCUCGCUCACUCUCCCAGGCUGCCUAGAGGAAGAGAAAGUGGAGGCAGGAAGAUAUCUUCGUACUGGAUGCUGCGUGACCUCUCGUUUGCUCCUAUUUAUACAUGAGAGAGUGGUGUUUCUACUCUGUCACAGUGCUGGCGCAAACAAGCGCCCGUCUGUGUGACCUCUGGCUUGCUUCUGGCAGUCUCCUGGCCCGUCUCUCUUAAUGCCUCCUCCUAUUUGGCUUCUUCCACCAUAAAUUGCUGACCGUCCAUCCCUGUAUUGCAGAAACGUUCGCUUUGACUUUUGACCAACUCGGCUGUCUUGAAGGUUUCUCUUUCCAACGCUGGUGCACAGCCGACACAUUGUGGACGAUUUUGAGACGAUGCAGCGCAUCAAGCCAUCCAUGCAAUUAGCAAAACUGAGCAUCACCGUCCACUCCUCCCGUCGUCCAAUGUUCGGCUGGCGACUGUCGUCCCUACAGCAAUUUCAUUCUCUUUAUGCCUCCUCUCUCUCGGCUUCGUCCCUCUCUUGCUCGGGAGCGCCAGCUGUAGCGUGGUAGUACUAGUAACUGAUGCGAUGUAAGAAUCUGCAAAGCACUUCAAAUCACCCACGAUAAAUAAACUUAGCAAAACAUUUCAAAAAAUUCUGCAUUUUUUGGAUGUGAUUAUGACCAAAUAAUUUUGGUGCUUGCAAAAUUUGGUGGUGAAAUGACAUCCGAGGAACUUUGUAAAAACAACCAAGUUUGUGCUGAAAACAUGUGAAUAGUAACAUGGUGCAGAGCAUCAUUUGUAUUUCGUUUUGUAUGAAGAUCAUUUGAUGUUCUUUGGUGAUCAAACUUUGCAAGCUCCUAAAACAUUUGCUCAUAAUCAUGUCGACGAAAUUUCAGAAUUUUUUGAUUUUUUUUUAAUUUCCCGGUUUACUCCAUGGGUGCACCAAAGUGGGUGGAGCCACUACUUUCCCAAGAGUUUAUGGACCUGCUUCUGUACGUGUCCUACUGGGUUUGGAUUCAACAAACAAAUGUAGCUACACAAAUGUAUGGCUUGUUAACCAUUAUAAUCAAUUCUACAAUAUUUUAGAAUGCAAUUAGUAGGCAUUAAUUUUCAGCUUCUCACUUAUGUAUGGACAUCAAAUUAAUCAAGUCAUAGUACAGGUGGGUCGUUAUCCUCUAAAUCAUAAUAUUCAUAUUCUAAGUAAGAAAGGUAGCACUAACAAUAUACCGACCUAUUAUUGCAAGCACUAUCAUGUAUCACUAGAUUGCCAAUAUGUUUGCUUAACUGUACCAUUGCCCUCCUUUUACAAUGGACAUUUUGUUACAAAAUUUGUUCCUCUACCUGGGAGAUUUUAUUUAGUCCUGGUUUUUUUAUUAGCUUGGCACAAACAUGAAACUACACAACGCCAAGACAUUGACCCUCCAUUUCUAUUGCAUAUAUACUUCAUUUGAGUUAAACUUCUCAAGUAACAUGCCUUUUUUCUUCAAGAUUAUUUCCAGACAUUUGUUCCAAAAAUAUGAUACAUGCUUCGGACAUAGAACUACAACAACUCAUAAGAACUACAAUCAUUUCCUCUUGCAAAUUUUUUUAUUACUUCCUCCACAACCAUUGUACCUACCAUGCAUAUAUAUGUAAACUGCGAUUGUCAAGAUUCGUGUACUAAAUGGAAAAGUGGGAUUGUAAAAAAUAUGCAAUACUAAGAAAUAUAUAAAUAUACUAAGUGUAUUCUUAUAAUUUUCUGUUGAUGUAAUUCAUAGUUGCUAUUUCAUUUAUUGGAUAUCAUAAUUCAUCAUCGACUAACAAUAUUGUCAUGAUUAAUAAAGUAAUGACAUCUUACAUAUGCAUAGCGAUACUUUUCAUUUAAUGUAAACCCUUAUAACUAUAAGGUUUUCUGUCAAUGUGACUGUAGAUUAAACCAUGAUUGAUAUCCAUACUUAAAAGGCUUUAUUGACACAGAAACAAAUUUCUUGUAGCUUUGUUGUUACCCCUUCUCACAAUAGGGGUAAGUAGCGUAACUUUAUCAUAUGUGCUUUUUACUACUAGGGAAACACUAGUUCCUAAUCUGAGCUCAUAGAUUAGACAAAAUUGUUUAUGUCAUUGUUAUGCUAAUACAAUAAUUUAAAUGACACACUAAACAAUACUCACAUUGAUAUUAGUUUAAACUUUACAUAAAAACUAAUGUCCUAUUUCCAUGUGAUAAAUAGAUGCUACUAGAAAUGCACCGUGAGAUUGUGGGCCGUUGGUUUUCUUUACAAGGACAAAGAUGAUUUGCAUCAAUCAUAUGGAUUUGGCAAUCACAAAUAUUAGUAUGAUGCAGGCUCAAUUAUAAUAAAAAUACGCAUUAUGAACAACGAAGCAAACCAAGAACAUAAUAUACAAAACAUAUGAUAAUGAAAUGUGCAUAAGGGUUGGAUAACAACUCACUCUUAUGAGACAUUACGUCUCGAGAUCAAUCAUACACUACACCAACAUAAAUGCAUGUUUUAGUGCUUGUUUAAUGCGCACUAAAGUUAGAAAUUAAGUUUGUCGAACUAUACAUAAGCUAUGCAUCCAUGUAUACUACUGCCCGACACGACAGAGUCAUGCAUUUUCAUUUAUAUUAUUUAGUGACACCUACACGACAAUAAUUGUCCACGUGAAAACCGCAAGGCCGUACAGUGCAUCCUUGGUGGACUAUGAUAGUAACGGUUAACUAAUACUACAAUUAUUGCGAAUGUUUUGUAUAUUCUGUAAAGGAAGAUUCAUUUGGGAUAAAUUAAUGGCUUGAGUGUACCAAGUGUUAUGUUCAUAGAUGCAACAAUGCACAAAAAUAUAUCUAGAUGGUGCUUAAUACUAGGUUUUUUGAGUUGGUGUUAACAUGAGCUUGUAGAGCAAAAUCAAAGUCAAUUAUUUACAUAUUGCAAUAGCUCUCUCUCUCUCACUUACAUAUUACAUAGUGUGUGUGUGUGUGUCUGUGUGUGACUUUGUGUGUGUGUGUGUGUGUGCGUGCGCGCGCGUGCGUGUGUGUGUGUCAUUGUACUCAUUAUACAAUGGAUUUUCUAUUACAAAAUGUGUUCAUCUCAAGGGAAGAGGAUAUGGAUCCUUCCCGGCUUUCCAUGUAGCAAGACAGUGGAGUGAAAGCGGAUUGUGCUUGGGCAACCAUCCCUGGGGAGUCAAGCCCUCUAGGUGCUCCGAGGUGAUGAUGGAGGGAUUCCAAUCACCAGGCAUGGUGGGCAAAUUUGCCACCUCGACCGAAUAGGGCGACGACAGGGACAAGUUUUGAUCCAGGACGCGUCCAUGUCUUGCGGCCGCGCCAACCUUGCGCGGCUCGGGCUUCAAGGUGUGUUCUUCUCCUGUGACGAUGACUGCUAAAAUCUCAGAGGAAUUGGGAAGGGGAAGUUGCGUGGUUGAUACCAACCCUUUCCCGAUUAAUAAGGAAUAAAAGGGAUCUGAAGCGGCAGUGUUCUUCUCCUGCGAUGGUGUUUGCUAAAAUAUGAGAGGAAUUGAGGAGGGAACGAUGUGUAGUUAAUACUAGCCCUCUCCUGAUUAAUAAAGAAGAAAAGGGAUUUGAAGUGGCAACAUGGCUCCCAAGAAUUGCAUCGAAGCCCGCGGUGACACCUGGAAGGUUCGCACUGGCGAUGGGUGGCGACGAUCGCCAUUGGGCCGCAAUGCCUUUUCUCUCUGGCCCAAGUAACACCCCCUUCCCCCGGGCAUUGCCCUGACCUCGGAGCCCACAGACGCCGGGAGGCCCCGGGUCCAAGAGCCCUAUUUUUGUGGAGCCUGCACCAUGAAAAAACCACAAGCCAGGGGCAGGAGAGCCCUAGGGGACAAAAAGGUCUCCAGAAUGAAGCAUCCAAGUCAGGUAGGCCUCCUAUGGCUAACCAAGAUGGGGCCCUCUGUCAACUAUCAACAAAACCAGGAGCUCGCCUGAGUUCUCGAAGACUGACGGAACUCGAAAUCUAGAUAGGCUCGGACGCUACUGAUGGUUUCAUGCACCGGGGUGGCUUCUAUCAAAGGAGCCAGCUAGAAGGCCGGCUAGGGACCCAAGAUGCAUGCCAAGUAAUUGGCAUAGGAGGGAGCUCCGAACAAUAGACUUACAUUCAUGAUAUCAUCUUGACCCCCAAGUCAUCCUAGUGGCGGGCUAAGAUUGGAUCUAUCUAUUUGUAAAACCUUAGCCCUCAUCAUGUAUAUAAGGUGAGGGCUAUGGGCUCCCAAGAGAUCGACUAUAGUAGAAUAGACUCUUGGUAGCAUCUUCAUACUCCCCAUUGGAGUCCCUUGCAUGAGGUAUACCCACCAUGAAUGAAGACAGCGCGCAUGGCAUAGAGUAUUACUCCUCGCCGGAGGCCCUAUCCUGGGAAAAUAGUGUGUGUGGCUCCGUUCUGGUACUUCCGACCACGUUUGCCACCCUAUCGAGGGUACUAACUAUUUUUCGCUCCGUAAAGCAAGACAUUUCAAAAUACCUUCUUUAGUGCAUUUCCACGGGAAAUGGGCUCAGACCUAGAAGAAAAUCAUCAUAUAGAAGGUCACACCAAGUGUUGAAAUAAAGGAAAAGCAAAUGGAGUCGCCAAGAGGGAAACAGAGGAAAAGGCGGCGCAUGGUACAAAUACAUGCGCUGGUACAUGUGCUCGUACCACUUGUCGUCGACGGCGUGAUGUCCAACCAAGCACAAUUUAUAAAAGAGGCCAAGUCUCAUUGGCAAUAGAGAGUCGCCCGUCGAGAUGAAACAAAGAACCAGGAGCCAUAUCGGCAACCACCUACUAGGAUGUUUUUUGCUAUUGAUGUUGGCAUCAUUGUGCCAACUUGGUUAGGCAGUUCAUGCUUGGUUGGGGGGCCAACCUGGGUGCAGAGCUUAGAGCUCCUAAGGGAGCCCCAUUCAACCAGAUUCAAGAGUUGAUUGUGAUUGUAGAUUCCCUGGUCUCUCGGAUGAUGAGUGGCUCUAGCGCUAUGCCCUUGAGGCCUCCCUUAUGAAAAUCUGCAAGGGUGAGGAGUUUUAUAGAAGCGUCGAGGGGGCCAAAAUUGGCUCUUGAAGGGGGCCCCAACACCACCUAUUUUCACACCAUUGUGAAUGGGCAACGUCCAAAGUGAUCAGUCCUUGUCUGUGGGAUGGGGAUGCCCUCCUUGAGCAGGCUGGGGAGAUCGUAUCGCAUAUUUACUCCUUCUAUAAGGAACUCUUGACGGUGAACCCCGCUAUGGGGUUUCUCUGGCAAAGGACUCGCAAUCAGCGGCCAAUGUGUUAGUCAUUGAGAAUGUGCAGCUAACUUUUCCAUUCUUGAUAGAACAGGUAGGCCGGGUGAUUGAUGUUAUGAAUGCUAGCUAGGCACCUGGCCCCAAUAGCCCACCAAUGGUCUUCUUCCAGAAAUUAUGGCCAGGGCUCCAGCAGGUGAUCAUGUUGAUGUUCCAUAUGUUUGAAAACUAGACAAAUGCUCACUUCAACCAACUUAACAAGAAAAUACAGAUAAACAAAGGGGUACAUUGAAAGUGCAACUAAUCCCCGGGUGGUUUUAGUAAUUCAUAACAACAUAUAUCUCAUUGAACUAAUAUUCUUUUAAGAUUAAUGUUUUAGAAAGUUCAAUGAUUGGUAUGGCAUGGACUAGAGAUGUGGACCCCUCAAAAUGCUGAGGGCACAUAUUGGCAAAAGCUCAAGAAUCUACAUUUUCAUUUUAGUGAUCCAAGUUCACAUUGAGUCCAUAGGAAAAGCCAACACUAGUAAAAGAGGAUGAGGUGUUGCUUAAUGGCUUGCUUGCUCAAAAUGCUUAGUGAUAUGCUCCAAAAUCCCUCAACCACUUUCUCAUUUCCACAUAUGUCCUAAACCUAAAGUCAAACUCGGCCCCACCGAUUUGAUCUAUCCAGCGCCACCAAGUUCACUUGAUAUAGCCAUAACCAGAAACCCUCAUCAGUUCGGUCUCACCGAUAGGGAUCUCGGUCUCACCGAGAUGGGAUUGCAAACUCUUUGUUCCCCUUUGUAACGUCUCGGUCUAACCGAGAUGAGCGAUCGGUCCCACCGAGUUCGCAGUGCAAACUCUCUCUUUCCUUUUCGUAACGUUUCGAUCUCACCGAAAUGAGCGAUCGGUCCCACCAAGUUGGCCUGACGAAGUCUCUCUUUGCUUAUUACUGAAAUCGGUCUCACCGAGUUCAUGUGGUCGGUCUCAUCGAGAUGAGGUUUUGCUCUAACCCUAGCGCAUCGGUCUCACCGACCUUAUAUUGUCGGUCCCACCGAAAAGCCUAACAUUUACAUUUUGAACUAGGGCGGUCUCAUCGAGUUUCACUAGUAGGUCCCACCAAGUUUGGUAAAUUGUGUAUAAUGGUUAGAUUUUGUGUGGAGGCUAUAUAUACCCCUCCACCCCAUUCUCCAUUUGAGAGAGAGCCAUCAGAACGUGCCCACACUUCCACUACUCAUUUUCUGAGAGAGAACCACCUACUCAUGUGUUGAGACCAGCACUAGUAGAAAAAGGGGCUAAUCUGAGACACAUUAGUGCUGGUUUGAUUUUGAGCCGGCACAAAUGUGUCCAUUAGUGCCGGUUCCAACGGCUAGGCGGGCGGACAUCAUCAGUACCGGUUCGUGGGCAACAAUUAGUACCGGUUCAUGCCACGAACAGGUACUAAUGAUGUUGUGUCAGGCUGUGGGCCCCACGAACACCUUUAGUACCGGUUCAUGGCAUGAACCGGUACUAGAGUUUCUUAUUAAGCUGAUUUUUAGUCCCACCUCGCUAGGAGAGAGGCAGUAGUGGCGGUUUAUAAGCCGUGAGUGCAGAGACGAUGAAGGAGAGGCGCAAUGCUCACCUGCAAGUUGCUUAGCUUCAAGCCUUUCGGAACAGAAUAGAUUGCACGGAGCUGUGUGUAGUGUAGCUACCCUAUUCCGAAGGCUUGAAGCUAACUAACGAGCAUUGCGCCUUUUUUUAUUUUUAGUAACUUGUUAGAACUCCGUACUUCUUGUGUUACGGCAAAAACUGGAUGCACUUUGUGUACAAACCGGACAAUCUCUUUCGAAGUAUCAGGGCCGGUUUCGGACGAAAACUCAUCUGUUACACCGACACUUCAUUUUUUAAUCUUAUUACAACUUCGGACUUUUUUGCGUUCACUACGCACCAUUCUAAGCCACGUCAUCAAUUUUCGACCCUUUCUGACAUCAUUUGCUCCCCUAGCACGAACCGGUACUAAAGAGGUUGUGGCAGGACUAUUUUUAGUCCCACUCGCAUAGGAGUAUAGCAUGUGCGAAAGAGUAGAGAGGGUCACGGCAAAAAAGAAAAAAGUAUAUAAAAAAUUACUCAAAAAUAAAUAGAAGAAAACAAAUAAAGCAGAAAAGAAAAAACUAUAUAUAAAGAAGAAGAAGCAGAAGAAGAAUAAGAAGAAGAAGAAGAAGAAGAAGAAGAAGAAGAAGAAGAAGAAGAAGAGGAAGAAGAGGAAGAAGNNNNNNNNNNNNNNNNNNNNNNNNNNNNNNNNNNNNNNNNNNNNNNNNNNNNNNNNNNNNNNNNNNNNNNNNNNNNNNNNNNNNNNNNNNNNNNNNNNNNAUAAAGCAAAAAUAUUCACAAAGAAACUAAAUACAGCAAAAAACUACUCAGAAAUAAAUAGAAGAAAAAAGAAAAGCAGAAAAGAAAAAAAUAUAUAAAAAAUUACUCAAAAAUAAAUAGAAGAAAAUAAAUAAUGCAGGAAAACAAAUUUAUAUAAAAAAUGUUGGGGCGCUGCCCGGUGGGUCUGCCAGACCUAGGGUGUGCAAACGCAGGCCCAAAAGGGCCAGCAAGCUCACAGGGCAAUGCCCCCUAGCUAAUCAGGCCCAGAAGCCUGCUAUAUAGAGGAGUUCGAAAGGGCAGCCGCAGCUGGGUUUAUAAACCAGUGCGGCUGCCCUUCACUCGGCAAGGUGGGACUAAAAGUAGCGCACUGCGGGUGGCAGCGCACGACCAUUAGUACCGGUUGGUGGCUCCAACCGGUACUAAUGUGUUGCCCUUUAGUACCGUUUGGAGCCACCAACCGGUACUAAAGGACCUUGUUUCCCGCCGCUUGGGCUGGCCAAAAUUGGCCUUUAGUACCGGUUGGAGCCAGCAACCGGUACUAAAGGCCCAUCCUAUAUAUAUUACACUUACGAAAAAUCAGUUAUCGUCGACCACUUCGUUCCACUUCUCCCCCGACAGCAUCGAUCUAUCGCGCCGACGCCGACGCCGCCGCGCCGCCAUGCCGUCGCCCCCGCCGCCCGUCGUCACCACCCCUGCNNNNNNNNNNNNNNNNNNNNNNNNNNNNNNNNNNNNNNNNNNNNNNNNNNNNNNNNNNNNNNNNNNNNNNNNNNNNNNNNNNNNNNNNNNNNNNNNNNNNNNNNNNNNNNNNNNNNNNNNNNNNNNNNNNNNNNNNNNNNNNNNNNNNNNNNNNNNNNNNNNNNNNNNNNNNNNNNNNNNNNNNNNNNNNNNNNNNNNNNNNNNNNNNNNNNNNNNNNNNNNNNNNNNNNNNNNNNNNNNNNNNNNNNNNNNNNNNNNNNNNNNNNNNNNNNNNNNNNNNNNNNNNNNNNNNNNNNNNNNNNNNNNNNNNNNNNNNNNNNNNNNNNNNNNNNNNNNNNNNNNNNNNNNNNNNNNNNNNNNNNNNNNNNNNNNNNNNNNNNNNNNNNNNNNNNNNNNNNNNNNNNNNNNNNNNNNNNNNNNNNNNNNNNNNNNNNNNNNNNNNNNNNNNNNNNNNNNNNNNNNNNNNNNNNNNNNNNNNNNNNNNNNNNNNNNNNNNNNNNNNNNNNNNNNNNNNNNNNNNNNNNNNNNNNNNNNNNNNNNNNNNNNNNNNNNNNNNNNNNNNNNNNNNNNNNNNNNNNNNNNNNNNNNNNNNNNNNNNNNNNNNNNNNNNNNNNNNNNNNNNNNNNNNNNNNNNNNNNNNNNNNNNNNNNNNNNNNNNNNNNNNNNNNNNNNNNNNNNNNNNNNNNNNNNNNNNNNNNNNNNNNNNNNNNNNNNNNNNNNNNNNNNNNNNNNNNNNNNNNNNNNNNNNNNNNNNNNNNNNNNNNNNNNNNNNNNNNNNNNNNNNNNNNNNNNNNNNNNNNNNNNNNNNNNNNNNNNNNNNNNNNNNNNNNNNNNNNNNNNNNNNNNNNNNNNNNNNNNNNNNNNNNNNNNNNNNNNNNNNNNNNNNNNNNNNNNNNNNNNNNNNNNNNNNNNNNNNNNNNNNNNNNNNNNNNNNNNNNNNNNNNNNNNNNNNNNNNNNNNNNNNNNNNNNNNNNNNNNNNNNNNNNNNNNNNNNNNNNNNNNNNNNNNNNNNNNNNNNNNNNNNNNNNNNNNNNNNNNNNNNNNNNNNNNNNNNGUUUAUUUUUAGUGAAUGCUUAGUUGAACUAGUUGAAUUAAUAUAACUACUUUAUUUUUAGUAAGAAAAUUUAGGUAUAUGAGAUUAGUUGAACUAGUUGAAUUAAUAGAACUAGUUUAUUUUUAGUAAAUGCUUUGUUGAACUAGUUGAAUUAAUAGAACUAGUUUAUUUUUAGCAAGAAAAUUUAGGUAUAUGAGAUUAUUUGAACUAAUUAAAAUUUAGGUAUAUGAGAUUGUUUGAAUUAAUAUAACUAUUUAUUUUUAGUAAAUGCUUAGUUGAAUUAGUUGAAUUAGUAAGUGUUUAAUGUUUCGCCUAGAUGAACAUACGAAAUGUCAUCUGACGACGGAAAAAAUUUCAUUAUGUGCGAAUACUGUGAAGACCAGCGCGGCCAGUGCGACAGAAAUUUCCUUGUUGAUGAUAGGGGAUUCAACAUCAAGAUGGAUGAGACCUUCGAAUUCGAUAUAGUAAGUCACAACAACAAGUCUGUUUUCAUAAUUAAGCAUGACUUAUAUAUGCUUCAUUUGCCUGACUUAUAAUUUUUAAUUUUCACUAUUCUACUAGCGCAUCCCCUGCCAUGCAAGAAUUUUUGUCUUGGAUAAGAUAGGUUCCAAUAAUAUGGAAACUAUGGAGGUAAAGAGAGUUUACCUAAAAACUGAGCAUGGUUAUACUUUCAACGUCAAAGUAUACAAUGCACACACAUACACCUAUUUUGAAUGCAAAACUUGGCAAGCACUAUGCAAGACUUAUCCAUUUGAGCCUGGUAUGGUUAUCACCUUUGAUAUUCGUCUGGAAGAUGAUAUUGAAGGUAAUAGAGACAUAUGGGUCAAUGUGCAAACGCCUCCAAUUCUACCAUUAUGUGAGUUCUUCUCAACUAUAUUUUUGUCUUUGAUAUUGCUUAUUCAGAAAUAAUUGAGAACUAAUUUCUAUUGACAGCUUAUCUCCAUUCAAGCAAACAUGUCCGGUGCUUGGUAGACAUGACCUACUACUGUCCCGGAGCUGAACUAAACUGCGAGGAGAUAAGUCAUUAUGUUUCAUGGCUUGAGGAUCUUCAUACUGUCAAGACAAAUUUUCUGCCUGCACUUAGAAAUGUUAGUACUCAAAACAUGCGACCAAUAGUGAUGGUAUUGAACUACGGUCACAUCUAUUUAGGAAUGAUGGUAAGAUUUUUACUAUUUGUCCUUAGUGCAUCUUUUGCAUACAUAUUUUUUUUGCUAAACUUUCAUUGCUAAGUAUAUUAAUUAAGUACUAUACGAUGUUCUUCAACAGGGACUCCCGAUGACAGUUGUGCCUCAGGGGAUCGAGACUAAAGGUCGCAUGUCAAUUGUUAGCUUACGACCAAGAUAUCCUGCAUUGCACAUGAAUGCAUUCAAGAUUUCUAGAAGCGAUGAAUGCUUAAUACUGAAAGAUUGGAGGAAAAUUGUUAACGAUCACAGAGAAGUACUAGGGGGUAGCAAUGAGAAGCGCAGCCCACGAUUAGGAGACAGGUUCAUCUGCAUGCUCUAGUAUGAUGUAUCAGGAGAGCUAUACAUGUUCUAUGCUAUUUUACCAAAGAGAGUGUAGCUAGUAGGAGUGAUUUAGCUAGUUCAUGCUGCUCUUAGUACUUGUCCUUUCAUGUCCGUGUUCUUCGUUCUGAACUUAAUCUCAAAGAGUGAUUUUCUUUUGUCGUGUUAUAUAUGAGCGCUUAUAAUAUCAUGACAAUCAUAUUGAACUCGAUGAUAUUUUUGCUUCUGGUACAAGUGAAUGUUUCUUCUUUAAGCUACUGUGAUUAGAUAGCGCUAAUGACUAUGAUGAUUAAAUAGUGAUAAUCACGACUACGAUGAUUAUUAGAUAGCUAGCUCUAGAGUAUGUUGAUGAUAUGAUGCAAGAGUUUUUAUAUUAAUAUGACAAUGAUGAUGAGUUAUUAUAUCAUUUAAUGAAAGAAACCACAGAUUAGUUUCAGCUGGAUGGAUCCUACCUAAGUGAUCAACUAUAUAUAUGCCAUAUCCAUAUAUAUUAUACUUGAUCACCUAAUUAGGUGAUCAAGUAUAAUAUCGAUAUGGCAUAUACUUGAUCACUUAGCUAGCUAGAUCCUCCAGUCGAAACUAAUCCGCGGUACUUUCACCUAAUGAUUUAACAACUCAUUAUAAUGUAAAACAAUCACUAAAUUAAAUUGAAAACACAAAACUAAAGCAAAACUUAAAAAAACCGGUUGGUGUUACCAACCGGUACUAAAGCCCUACGUGCACCCGGGCCUGGCUCAUGCCAUGUGUUUGCACUUUAGUGCCGGUUCGUGAUGAACCGGUACUAAAGGGGGGGGACCUUUAGUCCCCACUCUUUAGUGCCGGUUGGCGAACCGGUAGUAAAGGCCGUUAUGAACCGGCACUAAAGGUCGGUUCUGCACUAGUGCAAGACAUUCCAAUCCAACCACAAGAAUCUUGAUCUCUAGCCUUCCCGAGGUUGCUUUCCACUCAAAUCAUCUUUCCACCAUAUCCAAAUCUGUGAGAGAGUUUUGAGUGUUGGGGCUACUAUCAAUUGAAGCACAAGAGAAAGGAGUUCAUCAUCAACACACCAUCUAUUACCUUUUGGAGAGUGGUGUCUCCUAGUUUGGUUAGGUGUCACUUGGGAGCCUCCGUCAAGAUUGUGGAGUUGAACCAAGGAGUUUGUAAGGGCAAGGAGAUCGCCUACUUCAUGAAGAUCUACCCAAGUGAGGCAAGUCCUUCGUGGGCGAUGGCCAUGGUGGGAUAGACAAGGUUGCUUCUUUGUGGACCCUUCGUGGGAGGAGCCCUCCAUGGACUCGCGCAACCGUUAUCCUUCGUGGGUUGAAGUCUCCAUCAACUUGGAUGUAUGAUAGCACCACCUAUUGGAACCACAUAAAAUAUCUCCGUGUCUACAUUGCGUUUGCUCCCUCCAAACUCCUCCCCUUUACCUUCAUAUGCAAUGAUUUACAUUCCACCGCUAUACUCUUAGAAUUGCAUGCGUAGGUUGAUUGCUUGACUUGUGUUAAGUUGCUAAAAUCUACCAAGACUUAAAAUUGGCAAAAUGCAAGACUUUAAUUUGGUCAAUUAGUCUAAUCACCCCCCUCACUUUAGAUAUACUUUAAAUCCUAUAGGCUUCAUCUCUUCGAGGUGACCUGUUCAUGGUUGAGGGUUGUGGUGACUUGAAGCGGUGCUCUCUCUCCUACCGGUCAUUUGCUUGAAGUUGUGUUGUUGUUCUUUACCAUCUUUGUAUCAUGCCUUGUGUGCAUGUGUUACGGUGUCAUGUCGUAUUGUAUCUGCUGGAUUGUACGAUGGUCAUUGCUUUUUUUACAUCAAAGUACUCUUUGUUGCAAGUUUAUCACCAUAAUAUCUUUUACAAGAGUAUCAACAAUCUCUACGGGUGGAUCUUCCAUCCGCCCUGCACCCAACUUACUUCUCGCUAGUUUGGCUAAAUCAUGGGCAUCACAAUUAGUCUCUCUAGGAGCAUGCUCAAAAAUAAUAUGAGGGAAUUCACAUGCAGGGUGAUCUAUAUAAUCAAAAACUGCCACCGAUAGACCAUAAUAGCAACCUCAAUUAUUCAUUGUCUCUAUCACCUCUAUGCAAUUACACCCGAUUGUAGUUGCCAAAUUGAGACCAAACCAUAAGUCUAGUGCCUCGGCCCUAAGUGCAUCUCCACACCAAUCGACUUACCUGUUUCAUGCCGCGACGAAUCUACCAUUCAAGUUUAUGAUGACGGUGCCAUAUGAGCCCUUGAGUAAGUCUGGGUCAAAAGCCCAAUCCACGUUUAGCUUCACAUAGUUUCUCCUUGGUCUUUCCCAGCCAUGCUUCUUGAUCAUCGCCUUUGCAUCACUCGCCAUAUUAUAGUUAGCAAACGAAGCUCUGAUUUCCAUUGCUAUGAAAUUAUGUUCCUGGACCAUUUCAAUACGCACUAACUUUCUCCUCCCCCUCCAUAAAUAUCAGGAACCAAUAGCAAUUGGUUCUAUUGAAUUUUCUAGAACGAGGACCACACAUUCUUUAGCUAGUUGCAACAAUAAAUAUUCUAGCACAAAUUCUCCCACAUGAUCCAUAGUGCAUGCUUUAUCAAUAGCAAAGUCCAAACCUAGUAAUAGCCAUACAUCUUUAGCUCUUGCACAAAUGAAUAACAAGUGCUUGGUAUCAUCUGCUCCUAUACCGCAUGUAGGACAUUGCUCACUGACUUUUAUAUGCCUGUUAGCCAAAGUCACCCGACAAGGUAGCGAUCCUAACAAAGUUCACGCGAGGAAACUUUUAACCUUGGCCGGACAGCUUAAGCUCCAGAUGGUCCCCCAUAUUGGUGAAAUCCGUGAAAGUCCGACUGUAUUUUCUCCUGAUAUCACAAGUAUUAGUUAUGAACUUAUGAUGCAGGCUCAAGUAUAAUAAAAACACUCAUUGUGAACAAUGAAAAAAAACAAAAAGAUAAUAUACAAAAUAUCUUAUAAUGAAAUGUACCCAAGGCUGAGAUGACAACUCACUCUUAUGAGACGUUGCGUUUGGAGAUCAAUAAUACACUAUACCAACACAAAUGCAUGUUUAGUGAUUGUUUAAUGCACAUGAAAGGUACAAAGUUUGGAGAACUAUAUACAUAACCAAUGCGUCCACUUAUAGUAUUAGCCAACAGAAAAAGUCAUGCAUUUUCAUUUAUAUUCUUUAGUGAUAGCUACAUGAUAAUAACUGUCUCAUGUGUAAACCACAGUGCCAUACAAUGCAUCCUUGGUUGACUAUGAUGGUAAUGAAUAAUAGAUACUACAAUUAUUGUGAAAGUUUUGUAUAUCCCAUAACGGAAGAUCCGGCACCUCAUAACAACCCAUCCAUGUCAUUCACGGGCUAGAUAACAUCACUGGUUGAUAUCGACACCCCUAUGGACAUAUUGUCGUCUCAACAUGCAAGUACCGUCUUCCAUGGUAUGAUUUCAUUGUUAGAAUCUGUAACCUCGACGAGGCAUACAUUUUCGUAGUUCAACACCCCAUGCACUCUCAAAGCCAUGGUUAACAACCAACUAAAGGAGGGUGCAUCGGGUACUAUCAACAGAAAUUGAUGCAUAACAUUAUGUGGCCAACAUACCCGACUAGGGUGGAAGUGUGUAUGGUAUUUCCUAGUUUCAAAGAGGUGGACCCUAAUGAAAAACCUCAAGGCGCAGAUGAGGGAAUACACUAUAUUCCAUUCGAGAGUGCCCGAGGUGGACUCCUAGGUGGCCUAAGUCACAAAUACAUUUGGGGACACACUCCCCGUAGCUAGCAAACACCCUCACCGCUGGCGCUCUGUACGAAUGUCCCUACACUGGACCAUCUACUUUUGGUUUUGAAGAGCCGAAGGUCCUCAGGAUAUAGUGGUGGCUAAUGAUGAGAGCACUGACAAAGAUGAGCCACCGCCUGACUAUGAGCAUGGGGAGGGGGAUGUUAAUAUGUAUUUUUCACAAUGAAUUUGAUGAUGGCAUGACUUCUCCGGUUAACCAUAAUGUUAUCGAGAGUGUGUUUAAUAUGCCACCAGCAGUCGACACUCAAAAUGAUGAAUGUCCCUCCAAAGGGAAUGUCAUUACUCUGAUCACAUUGAAUGGGUCAAUUUGAGACACUCUCGCAGCUCCCAGUUAUUGUUGUACCUAGUAAUGGGAGGAAGAAGAGAUGGAAAAAGUCUGAUUACACAAGGCACGGGCGCUGCUGGUAGGCAGAAACUGGUUCGAAAGACGAUUAUAGAUUUCGGUUUACCGUACCUUUUGUGUAGUUUCUACUUAAGUUUUAAAGAUGCAUGGUGAAAAUGACCUACUAGGUUUACUUCAUUAACCUUAGUGUCAUUUGAUGUAUUGAAACAUGAUAAUUCUAGCACGACAACAACAUGCACGCUCCGGCUCAUAAAUGCUACCAUUGUAGCAAAAAGAUUAACUAAAAAUGCAACCACGACAUCUUAUAGUAGCCCCAAGGCUGGAAAACUCUACCAUGGUAACUAAAUGAGCAAUUUGACUCAUAAAUGCUUCCAUGGUAGAGAAAUGUGCCCAUUUAACCAUAAUUGACCACAUGGUAGAAAAUAUGAGGCCAAAGGCUCAAAAGUUCUUCCAUGACAACUAAAAGAGCCAUUUAGCCUAGACUCAUUGCGAUGGCAACUAAUUAAUGAGCCAUUUCGUGAGCUAACUGAGCCAUCAGGCACAGAAUUGCUGCCAUGGCAGCAAAAAAUGAACGCAAAACUACCAUCACAACAAAUAUGAGCCCCAAGGUUACAAAUUUUGCCAUGCCUAGAUUUGCUAUAUGCUAAUCUUGCUAUUUGUUUCCAUGUGCUAUGUAUGGUAUCUAAGUUGCUAUAAAAGACAUCUAGCUAUGUAUAUAUGUUGACAUAUAUUUGAUAUGAUGUAUGUCGACAUUUUCUCUUCAUUACGACACGUCAAAGAUUCAUUGACCAAAACUUCAACAGUUCCGAGGCACCGCAGUGAAGCUAGACGACAAUGGAUGCGUUUUACAAAUUCUCCCUGUGAAAUGAAUGCAUGUAACUCAAUGAUAUCAAUUUGUGUUAUGUAAAUUAACGUGUGUGUUGCAAUUUGUAUAUUUGAAUUCAUGUAAAAUGUGAUACAUAAAAUUAUCUAUUUAAUGCAUACUUUUUAUUUUGAUAUAUGAAUCAUAUGUGCAAACGCUGCCACAACACAAAAUACACGGUCGUAUCAUUUCUUUCCCAAAACAAAGGCCCGAACAAGACACUUGUAUGUGCCUUACUAUUGUAUGAAAGGCCCGAACAAGACACUUGUAUGUGCCUUACUAUUGUCGUGCAGGCAUGUUGGAGAUAUGCCCUAGAGGCAAUCAUGUAUGAUGAUAUUUCCUAUGUGUUUAUGAAUAAAGAUAGUUCUUAGACAUUAUCAAUGAUGUAUAUCAGCAAGUACGUGACUUGUUUGUGGGACUAUCCAUUGUAUGAUUACUGUCCUAAAAGGUCCCUAGUCGAAAGGGUUGUGUGGACGCGCAACCAACUAGACUAGCAUAUGACACGGUCGAUGGCUUGGUCUCAGUAGCCAUGGAGCAUUGGAUGCUAACCGGAUAAUAUGGACUUGGAAGGAUCUGGUCGGGUUUGACAUAGUCAGAUCCGAGUCGAGAUAAGGUCCGAGACAGACAGACCCAACUAUGAGACAUAGCGAUAUGUCAUCCAUGAGUCUCUAAUACAACUUACGUUCUAUGUUCUAAGACCUGAGCUGGAGCAUGUACUCGGGAUGGUGACAGACCUGCUUUGGGCCAACCAAAUGCUACUCUGUGACUGGGUAGUUACAAAGGUAGGUUUUGGGCUUGUCCAGACCCAUUUUGCGAGACAUGGUCGAGCAAGAUGGGAUUUGCCUCGCCGAUUAGGAGAAUAUACUCUGGGCCCCUCGUAUGAUCUGACCAGGAUAAUCAUGGCCAUGCAAAAAGUAUUAUGAGAUAAUCCGUUUGUGGUCAACAUCACUGGAACGAGAAAGAGGUCGAGCUAGCACAAGGAAGACAGACUCGCCUUGAGCCCAACAAAAUAUAUCGUGUGGCGAAAGGAAUAGAAGUGUGAUGUACAGGUUCGCCAAAUGGCUUCAUUGUCUACUUGGUGGGCGGCACGGCUUGCUAGAGGUCGCUACCAGCCGAGCAAGUCGGAGGUGAUCUGACUUGCGGCCAAGACGACUUGAACCUACGGGGUCGCGCACAUAAGGGAAGGAACCUGUGAGGCUCGGUUCGACUCCACGAGUCAGGUGUGAUCCUACUUGGACUCGGAUCCAUGCACUACUAGGGAAAAGCCUAUACACAGAAUCUUAUCAGCAGCGCGCUUUAAAAUAAGGCGCUGCUGCUAAUUAGCAGUAGCGAGCUCAAGAAUAAGUCGCUGCUGAAAUAAAUAUAGCAGUAGCGCGCACGCUCAAAGACGCGCUACUGCUAUAAUUCCCACGAGGCCACCGCAAGGCUAGUUAUAGCAGCAACGCGUUAUAUCGAAGGGCGCUACUGCUAGUUGAUUUAGUAGAUUUAGUAGGCUAGUUCAUUUAGUUGAUUUAGAACAUUUUGAUUUAGUUGAUUUAGUAGGCUAGUUCAUUUAGUUGAUUUAGAACAUUUUCAUUUAGUUGAUUGUCCAUCAAAUUGCUUCUCGUGGUAGAAGCAAAAAUAUCACAUGCUACUGUUUUUCUUUUCUGUGAAGUGGAUCGUUAAUCCUUUGCUCAUAUUGCUUUAGGAAAAAUGGCGCCACCACCACCACCACUAUGUCGACUGUGCAAGUCAAGGUGCGCCAGUAGCCUUGCAACUGGCAAGCUGUCCGGCAUCUACUUCCAGCCGAGUUUUUAUCAUGCAGCGGUAAGAAAUUAGAUGAAAUGUAAUAACUAUUUUAUUUUUAGUGUUGGCAUUACUGCAUUGUGUCAUUUUACUUAUUUUACACAUAUCAUCCCAUGCAAUGUGAGGUUGAAAUUCAACAAGCUGACAGGAGACACUGUGACAUUUGAGGCUCCUGGGCGGCCGUACACUAUGGAGGUUGAGAAAGGACGCAAUAUGUCGCAGAUUGGAGGAGAUGGAUGGGCCUGUUUCGUCACUCGCAUGCGUCUUACUGGUGGUGAGUUGAUCAGCUUCUCCUUCAGAGCAGAAAGAGCCAAGCUGGCUAUCAUUUGUCUCAACUUGGUGGCAGAUGAUGAAGAUGACGAAGAUGAUGAAGAUAAUGAGGACCCACUCGAUGAAGAUGAUGAGGACCCACUUCAUGAAGCCAUCGUAGCUCAAAGAACAAAGCUGAGCGAGGAGGAGGUGUCCAACCUGUGGGACAUAAUUCCGCCACAUGCUGACUUUCUCGGGGUGCCAUUCAUGACCCGCCUGACAAAUAACAUGGUUGAUCGACAUGAUAUGGUAUGUUAUACUUACUAAUGCAAAUUAUCUGAUGAAAUACUUAGUGUACAGUCCAAUGAUAUGGUAUGUUGUGUGGAAUCUAGUCGAUGAUAUGUUUUAGUGCAAAGUUCGAUCACAUGCUUAUUAGUGUAGAAUCUAAGGAAACUAUUAAUAGUGUAGAUAAUCCAUAUGUACUUAUUUGUGAGGCUAUUUAUUAAUUGAUAUGUUUUUCUUAUUCAGAAGUUGGUGAAGAGCAUAUCUAUGAGUUAUGGUAUCGAGCCUGAUGAAGAAGGCUCAGCUGGACUACGCCUUACUGCAAGGGGCUCCGUCACAACCUGUACUUACUGCGUGGACACGGACGGUCGCACACACUUAAACUCGGUUGGGUGGAAGAAAUUCCUCGAUGGCAAGAAUCUUCGUGUUGGACAGGCCAUCCUAAUUACUAUCAGGAACACCAACCGCCCAGGCUUGAGGAUGAUGAUUGUCUUUGAUAUCAUCUAGAACUACAUUUGUGUGUGUGGCUAUAUCAUCUAGAACUACAUAUGUGUGUGUGGCUAUAUCAUCUAGUACUACAUAUGAUGAUCGUCGUUGAUAUCAUCUAGAACUAUAUAUGAUGAUCGCCGUUGAUAUGACCUUGUACUGCUUGAGGAUGCAUGUUGACUAUGCAUGAAAUUGUUAUCUAGUACUCCCUUCGUUCUAAAUUACUCGUCGUGGUUUGAACUAAAACCACACGAGUAAUUUGGAACGAAUGGAGUACUACCCAGUAAUGGUUUAUGAAUUUGAUAUCUACUAGCAGUACCUUGUAUCUAGUAUCUGAAAGGGAAACUGAAAGGGAAAGGGAUACUGGAAAAUGAUAAAAGAUAUAGCAGUAGCGAGGGACUGCGAAAUCGCUACAGCUAAGUAAUAGUAGCGUGUUCAUAAAAAGCGCUGCUGAUAGCAUCAACAGUAGUAGCGCGGGUACGGACCGCGCUACUACUAUAAGUUAGUUGUAGCACCUUAUUAGUAGCGCAGCCACCCGCGCUGCUGCUACCCCAAAACCCGCGCUACUACUAGGAUUUUCCCUAGUAGUGAUGCCGGACAGAUUUUUGGCUUUAGGAUCCGUGUGAGGCCCAAGCGUUGAGCCCAUGACGGAUGCCUAUAUAAAGUGGGGUUGCGGCACACUCAUGCAAUUGAUCGCUUCGGUGCUGUCACUAGGGUUUCCAUGUGUUGCGAAUAGCCACCUCCACUCGCUGCCGACUGUGUGAUCGGACCUAGCAGCCCGCCGCACGGUGUUCCUCCUGCACGCGUGGAUGCCGCUAGAGGCGGUGCACCUGCGCCGCUCUAGCGAACUUGUACGUUGGAUCGGACGACCGGCUGUUUGAGGGAGAUCAGACGAGGAGGAGACGAUCCAUGUUGACGUGCUGCCCCAACUCUUCUUCCGCUGCACGGCACUGCGCUCUGCGCGUCUAGUGGUAACGAUCUGUGAUCCAUCUCCCGUAGCAUGUUCUUGGUUGUUCUACACAUAGGAAAAUUUUAAUUUGCAGCCGACGCACCCUACCGUAGAAUCCAACAAGGCAAACAGGCCCGCUAGUAAGUUACUCGCUCGUCAUUAGUAAUCACUUACAAGUGGCAUCAUACUAGUGGUGUGCCGAUCGAACGCCGCUAGUAGGCACAUGCGCAAGCUGCUAAUAAGUGGAUCCUGUACAUUGGUGGUGGGAGUCACGAUACUCGUGGGCGAAGCUCUUAACUAAGGUGCGGGAUGGUGGCCAUGGCCGUGCAGGGGGUGGGGUGAUUGCGGUACAGCGUUCAGUGGCGUUGAUGUGGGAGGUGUCUUCAUGACUAGUUGUACUAUGUUGCAGAGGCUACUACCUCUUCCUCAAGGCACCGCCUGGGAGUACAUGGUUGACGGCUCUCAUGACUUCAAGAAAUAUGCUCUCUAUCCUACCAGCCAUUUUCUUGGAGUUUUUUGUCUUUUUCCGAAAAGAAGAAUAACCUUGGCCUCUGCAUCAAACAAUGCACUCAUCCAUCUUUAUUAAAUUAUUCAACAGAGGCUGGCACAAUAAAUACAAGGAUUAAUCCAAAGCCACCUUUCUGACGAACUAUGUCGCUACACCUAUGAGCUUGAUGAUGAACCCCGACCGCACCAACGCACACCAUCUAAUCUGGUGGACUACGAGAGUCACCGCCUGCGAGCCGAGAGCACCAACCGUCCUAGCAAACCCAAUGCGCACACCACAUGCGCGUGGUCCAGGAUCAUGCGCUACCAUCUACCGCUGUCCCAUCUUCAAGAGUGAUCCUUGCACUAACCUUGCUAGGCCCACAUGACAUCGAUGCUGCCACGACGCUAGACAACGCCACCAGCCUGCGUGUAGCCAUCAGCCCACCUCCAACACCGAUACUCCACCGCACCAUGCCGCCGAGACCCACCGUUCUUGAUGCGGUAGAUGCAACACCGCUCCACCUCUUGUCCCCUCCAUUCGGUACCUACUCCAAACAGUGCCCCAGGAGAGAGAAUGACACAACUCCCUAUCAUUAUCCGAUCUGGGAGACCCAGAUCUAGGAUUUCUCCUGGAGCAGAUGCCUCCGAGAGGAAGAAGGGCACACCAUCUGUAGUUGCCAACGAACCCAAAGGGUGCCCACCCACACAACGAGCCAUUUUCCUGGAGUUGUCUUGUUGUUCUUCAGCAUCCUUGUACAAUGCCUUGUGUGCAUGUGUUGCGGUGUCAUGUCGUGUUGUGUUGUAUGUUUUGAAUUGCAUGAUUUGUAUAUAAAGUGGAGCGGAAGUCUUUUUGAGAAAUAGUAAGAUCAAUUGCCUCAGUUGAAACUUGAAAGUGCAUUUUUUGACUUUGACAAUGGAAGUCAGGGCCAAGGCCGACCUGAUGCGCAGGAAAAGGGACAAGCACACAUACAUCCCAUAUGUACCAAGCUUUUUUGUUCUUUUUGUUGCUUGUUGUUUGCUUCCGCUUAAUCCUACGAGAUAUCAAUUGGUUAAUAUAUUUGCUUGAAUAAUGCAUUAUCAUCUGAUUUCUUGUUUAGAUCGAUGUGCUCUCUAUUUUCAAACAGUUUUGUUCUGGGCCUAUUUUGUUCAAUUGGAUAAUUUCAGCGCACAAAUCUAUUGAAUCGAAAUAAAUCGAUUUAUUUCCUCCGGUUUCCCUUUUUCUAGUAACCUAUUUGUUGUUAUUCGAUAGGACAUAUGUUUUGAGAAACCUAACCAAAUUAAUAUACAAAAUGCUCAUCUUUACUCAAUCGUGUCCAUCGUGUCCCAGCCAUACCUUCUCAUUGGUUUCACGAUGGGAGUCGACAUCAUUGGGGGAGAGGGGGGGGGGGAGCGGAGCAGCGCCUCGGUCGCCAUGACAUCCAGCGAUGGUCAUGCCGAGGGCCAUCGUCGUACGCAGAUCACGCGCUUGUAGCAUAACCUGAGUCGCCGUAAUUCGUUUGGGUCAACAUAUCAGCCAUUGUGUUGAUCCCCAAACUCGCGCACAACAUGCUACAUGAUUGGUUCACCGCGGUUGACGUCUUGGAGAUCAUUGCAUGCUACACACCUUUCUUCGGACUCUACGACUCCUUCACAUGCCCAAGAGCACGUGGAUAUGAUACUGAAUUUUUCUUAGCGACCCAAGAUUACUCAUGCAAUUAGCUGGGCACAUAUGAGGUUUCACGGACUAGCAAACACAGAGCACAGAUGGAAUUUGAUGCCAUGAAAACUUGUUUGGAAAACAGAGAGAAAGAACGGUUGUUGCACGACCGACCUAAACACACACCACGUUCCUAAUGACUCGUGCCAUCCCACGAAUCAGAUCAUGCGUGCAUGAUCUACAGCUCCACUAUUAUCGCGUGUGAUCCGAAGGGCCAUGCCAUCCCAUGACUCGGUUCACGACGUGGUAGAAACAGGAGCGACCCCUACCUGACACAUGGACUCGACGCAGACAUGCUUGCCGUCGAGACCUACUCUCAGUGCGUACCGUCUGCUCGCAGGCAGCUAUGGGGCACGUUAUUUGGAACAAACAAAUUGAAAGGAAAAAAAUUAAGGCAUGCAUUAAAUUUACUUCAAUAGAUCAGCCCUUGAUCCACAAACCCACAUCGCGAAGUGGUCUUAGUGGAUCUCGUCACUCUCCGAGUCGAUCUCGUCGUUCUCUGAGUCGGAUAAGUGGUUGUUCACCUGCUCGUGCCUAGCCUGCAAUGCCGUCAACCACAAACACCAUAUCCAGAUUCCGUUACAUUCCCUCAUCACCCAGGCAGAAAAAACUGAAAACCUUGGAAAAAUAGAAUGGAGAUCGAGUUCAUACCCUCCUCAUCUGGGCACGACGGUUCUUGAACCAGAUUUUGAUAUGCUGGGGCUCCACGCGAAACUCGCGACCGAGAUGAGCGCGCUGGGCCUCAUCGGGGUUGGGGCACUCCAUGAAAACACUGCAGUUUUCAAAAAAAUAAAAAUAAAAGAAAACCAUGAAUACCCUGCACAUGAAUCACCAUGAAAAUAUGACACGAGAAAUAAGCUGUAGGAAAUGAUGCUUGAUCAACCUCUCAAGGAUCUGAAUCUGUUUGUCACUUAGGUCCAUUGUUACCAAUUUCUCGUUUGCUCGCUCACACUCUCCCGGGCUGGCUAGAGGAAGAGAAAGUGGAGGCAGGAAGAUAUCUUCAUACUGGAUGCUAUGUGACCUCUAGUUUGCUUCUAUUUAUACACGAGAGGGCGGUGUUUCUCCUCUGUCAGAAUGCUGGCACAAAGAAGCACCCGUCUGUGUGACCUCUGUCUUGCUGCUGGCAGUCUCCUGGUCGGUCUCUCUUAAUGCCUCCUCCUUUUUGGCUUCUUCCACCCUAUAUUGUUGACCGUCCGUCCCUGUAUUGCUUGGGAGCGCCAGCAGCAGAAAUGUUCGCUUUGACUUUUGACCACCGGCUGUCUUGAAGGUUUCUCUUUAUGCAUCCUCUCUCUUGGCUUCGUCCCUGGCUUGCUCGGGAGCGCUAGCAGUAGCGUGAUAGUACUAGUAACUAAUGCGAUGUAAUAAGCUUAUAUCAACAAAUUCAAAUCAUAGUACAGGUCAAUUGGAUUUAUUGACCUGCGAUGUACUCCCUCGGUAAAGAAAUAUACUCCCUCCGUCUAGGUGUAUAAGUCAUCUUAGGUUGUAAAGAAAUAUACUCCCUCCUCAUUUAGCAGAAUUUGCAAAGCACUUCAAAUCAAUUGGGUUUAUGGACCUGCAUCAGUAUGAGUCCUACUGGGUUUGGAUGCAACAAACAAAUGCAGAGUUACCUGAAAAUGGCCGGUGACCUGUCUUGAGUUCAUAAUUUCUCCCCUCCCACAAUUACCAUUGUUCCUCUUGUAGAAAGGGAGAUAAUUAGUCCUGAGUUACGUCCAUGUAUUAGUUGUUAACCACAAGAGGGAUCCUUGCACUAACAUUCCCAGGCCCAACCGCCGUUGACACCAGACAAUGUCACUAGCCUCCAUGGAUCCAUCAACCCACCUCCAACGCCGAUACUCCACUGCACCAUGUCGCCGAGACUCACCGUUUUUAAUGUGGUAGAUGCAACACCGCUCCACCUCUUAGCCCCUCCAGUCAGUACCUAUCCAAAAGAGUGCGCUAGGAGAGAGAAUGACACAAGUCUUCGUCAUCAUCCGAUCUCGGAGAACCGGAUCUAGGGUUUCCCCUGGAGCAGAUGCCUCCUGGAGGAAGAAGAGCAUGCCAUCUGCAGUGGCCAUCGAACCCAAACGGUUCCCACCCGCGUAAUGAGCCAUUUUCUUGGAGUUGUGUUGUUGUUCUUCAGCAUACUUGUACAAUGCCUUGUGUGCGUGUUUUGCGGUGUCGUGUCCUGUUGUGUUGUAUGUGUUGAAUUGUAUGAUUUCUAUAUAAAGUGGAGCGGAAGUCUUUUUGAUAAACAAUGAGAUCAAUUACCUCAGUUGAAACUUGAAAGUGCAUGUUUUGAUUUUGACAGCGGAAGUCAGGGCCAAGGCCGACCUCAUGCGCAGGAAAAGGGACAAGCACACAUGUACCCAAGCUUUUUUCUUCUUUGGUUACCUGUUGUUUGCUUGCGCUUAUUCCUACCAGAUUAUCAAUUGAUUAAUAUAUUUGCUUGAAUAAUGCAUUAUCAUCUGAUUUCUUGCUUAGAUCCAUGUGUUCUCUAUUUUCAAACAGUUUUGGACAGGGCCUAUUUUUUCAAUUGGAUAAUUUUGGUGCACAAAUUUAUCGAAUUGAAAUAAAUCAGUUUAUUUUCUUCUGUUUUCCUUUUUAUAGGAACCUAUGUGUUGGCGUUCGAUAGGACAUAUGUUUUGAGAAACCUAGCCAAGUUCAUAUACCAAAUGCUGACCUUUACUUAAUCAAGUCCCAACCACCCGUUGUCGUUGGUUUCACGGCGAAAAUUGNNNNNNNNNNNNNNNNNNNNNNNNNNNNNNNNNNNNNNNNNNNNNNNNNNNNNNNNNNNNNNNNNNNNNNNNNNNNNNNNNNNNNNNNNNNNNNNNNNNNNNNNNNNNNNNNNNNNNNNNNNNNNNNNNNNNNNNNNNNNNNNNNNNNNNNNNNNNNNNNNNNNNNNNNNNNNNNNNNNNNNNNNNNNNNNNNNNNNNNNNNNNNNNNNNNNNNNNNNNNNNNNNNNNNNNNNNNNNNNNNNNNNNNNNNNNNNNNNNNNNNNNNNNNNNNNNNNNNNNNNNNNNNNNNNNNNNNNNNNNNNNNNNNNNNNNNNNNNNNNNNNNNNGAGCAGCGCUUCGGUCGGCACAGCAUCCAACGAUGGUCAUGCCGACGGCCAUCGUCGUAUAGAAUCACGCGCUUGUUGCAUAACCUAAGUCGUCGUAGUUCGUCCGGGUCAAUAUAUCGGCCAUUGUGUUGAUCCCCGAACUCGCGCAUAACAUACUACAUGAUUGGUUCACCGCGGUUGACCUCCUUGCCAUUGGAGAUCGUUGCAUGCCGCGCACCUUUCUUCGGACUCUACGAUACCUUCACAUGCCCAAGUGCACUUGGAUAUGAUACUGAAUGUUUGUCAGCGACCCAAUAUAACUAAUGCAAUUAGGUGGAUACAUAUGAGGUUUUUCCGAAAAAGGCUUCUGCCCCGCUUUAUAUAUAAAGCCACAUCAACAACUUCCGGUACAAACGCACGCCACCACAACACACGCACACACCCAAGGCAGGAUACAUAGGCGCUGAGUGCAGCAAUAACACCCCUAUCUACGAAGAGAUGAAGCCACAUAUGACGAACCGUGGACUCCAAGACGGCGCCUUCAGGAAGGAUACGACACCGGAGCCUCGCCACCGCCCGACACGAGGGUCAGAGUUUCCCCUGGAGCAACACAAUGGGCAAUGAGAGCCUGGACGACGCCUUCAAGAAGGGAACGAGUUACGCCGCCGUCGGUCCGUCCGAGGAUAGAACAGGUUUUCACCCCGGCCAACACUCACCACCACCGAACGCCACACCCAUGCAACCAUGCCGCCCACACGGCCAUGGCCACCGGGCAGCACCAAGCCACGGCCUCUGCCCACGAGCACCGUGCUACCACCACCAGGGCCGCCGCCCCCGCAUCCAAGACCAAGAGCCCACCUCACUCGAGACCCAUCGCUACCCCAACCAAAGGGACAAGUGGAAAGGCAGGGCCUUUCGCACCCCUGGGAGGCCCCCAGCACCGAGACCCAAUCGGCCGGCCAAAAUUGGCCACCAUCGCCGCGUCCUACAGACCCGGGCACGAGGCGAGCUCGGUCCUGCUGCCGGGCGCGAGACGAGCUCGGUCCUGCGACACCGGGCGCGAGGCGGGCAAUGGACCGCGGCUGGGAGCCGGCCAGCCCUUUGAUGCAAGUAGUGCCUGAACGACGAGGAGGUGAAGCGAAGGCCGAUACGGCCCGACCGCAGACGAGCCGACGCCGGAGAAGCCGACCGCCGCCACGAGCAAAUCCGCCGAGCCACCAUGUAGCCGCCGCACCACCAAGAGGUCACCAUGCCGGACCUCCCGCGACGCCGCCCACGGCAAGAACAACAGCCACGCCCGGCCGCUGCCCCCAUGGGAGCAACUGCCACGCCCGGACAGCCGCCCCCAUUCCGCGUCGCCAGCCGCCCCCAUAUGAGGUUUUACUCUAGCAAACACAGAGCACACAUGGAAUUUGAUGCCAUUAAAACUUGCUACAGCUUUUUUAUUUGGAAUACAGAGAGAAAGAACGGUCGUUGCACGACCGACCUAAACACACACCACGUUCCUAAUGACUCGUGCCAUCCCACGAAUCAGAUCGUGCGUGCAUGAUCUACAGCUGCCCUAUUAUCGUGUUUGAUCCGAUGUGCCAUGCCAUCCCAUGACUCGGUUCACGACAUGGUAGAAACAGGAGCGACCCCAACCUGACACAUGGACUCGAUGCAUGGACUCGACGCAGACAUGCUUGCUGUCGAGACCGACUCUCAGUGCGUAUCGUCUGCUCGGAGGCAGCUCUAUGGCACGUUAUUCGGAACAAACAGAUUGAAGGAAAAAGAACCUAGGGCAUGCACUAAGUUUACUUCAAUGGAUCAGCCCUCCAUCCACAAACCCACAUGGCGAAUUUGUCUUGGUGGAUCUCGUCGUUCUCUGAGUCAAUCUCGUCGUUCUCUGAGUCGAUCUCGUGGUUCUCCGAGUCGGAUAAAUGGUUGUCAACCUGCUCGUUCGUGGCCUGCCAUGGCGUCAAGCACAAACACUACAUCGAGAUCCAUUACAUUCCAUCAUGACCAGGUGAAAAAACUGAAAUCUUGGAAAAAUUGAAAGGAGAUCGAGUUCAUACCCUCCUCAUCUGGGCACGGCGGUUCUUGAACCAGAAUUUGAUCUGCUGGGGCUGCAUGCCAAGUUCACGGCCGAGAUGGGCUCGCUUGGUCUCGUCAGGGUAGAGGAACACCUUGAAAGUCCUGCAGUUUUCAAAAAAGGAAAAAGAAAACCUUGAAUACCCUGUACAUGGAUCACCAUGAAAAUAUGACAGGAGAAAUAAGCCAUAGGAAAUGGUGCUUGAUCAACCUCUCGAGUAUCUGAAUCUGGUUGUCACUUAGAUCCAUUGUUGCCAAUUUCUUGCUUGCUCGCUCACUCUCCCAGUCCCAGGCUACCUAGAGGAAGAGGAAGUGGAGGCAGGAAGAUAUCUUCGUACUGGAUGAUGCGUGCCUCUGGUUUGCUCCUAUUUAUACAUGAGAGGGUGGUGUUUCUCCUCUGUCACAGUGCUGGCGCAAAGAAGCGCCCGUCUGUGUGACCUCUGGCUUGCUGCUGGCAGUCUCCUGGCCGGUCUCUCUUAAUGCCUCCUCCUAUUUGGCUUCUUCCAGCAUAAAUUGCUGACCGUCCAUCCCUGUAUUGCUCCGGAGCGCCAGCAGCAGAAACGUUCGCUUUAACUUUUGACCACCUCGGCUGUCUUGAAGGUUUCUCUUUCCAACGCUGGUCCACAGCCGACACAUUGUGGACGAUUUUGAGACGAUGCAGUGCAUCAAGCCAUCAAUGCAAUUAGCAAAACUGAGGAUCACCGUCCACUCCUCCCGUCGUCCAUAGUUCGGCCGGCGACUGUCGUCCCUACAGCAAUUUCGUUCUCUUUAUGCCUCCUCUCUCUUGGCUUCGUCCCUGUCUUGCUCGGGAGUGCCAGCAGUAGCCUGGUAGUACUAUUAACUGAUGCGAUGUAAGAAUCUGUAAAGCACUUCAAAUCACCCAUGAUAAGAAAACUUAGCAAAGCAUUUCAAAAAAUUCUGAAUUUUUUGGAUGUGAUUAUGACCAAAUAAUUUAGGUGCUUGCAAAAUUUGGUGGUGAAAUGACAUCCGGGGAACUCUGUACAAAAAACCAAAUUUGUGCUGAAAACAUGUGAAUAGUAACAUGGUGCAGAGCAUCAUUUGUAUUCUGUUUUGUAUGAAGAUCAUUUGAUGUUUUUUGGUGACCAUACUUUGCAAGCUCCUAAAACAUUUGCUCAUAAUCAUGUCGAGGAAAUUUCAGAAUUUUUAAUUUUUUAAUAUUUUUUUAAUUUACUGUUUACUCCAUGGGUGCACCAAAGUGGGUGGAGCCACUACUUUCCCAAGAGUUUAUGGACCUGCUUCUAUACGAGUCGUACUGGGUAUGGAUGCAACAAACAAAUGUAGCUACACAAAUGUAUGGCUUGUUAACCUUUAUUAUCAAUUCUACAAUAUUUUAGCAUGCAAUUAGUAGGCAUUAAUUUUCAGCGAUCAGGUGGUGUCGGCGAUCCUUUGUCCUUCCCUUACUGAAGGCGCCAUCUUGGAGUACUUGGUUCGUCGUGUGUCGCUUCAUCUCUUCGAGGUGACUUGUUCAUGGUUGAGGGUUGUGGUGACUUCAAGCGGCGCUCUCUAUCCUACCAGCCGUUUGCUUGGAGUUGUGUUGUUGUUCUUUAACAUCUUUGUAUCAUGCCUUGUGUGCACGUGUUACGGUGUCAUGUCGUAUUGUAUCUGCUGGAUUGUACGAUGGUUGUUGCUUUUUCUGACAUCAAAGUACUCUUUAUUGCAAGGUCAUCAACGUAAUAUCUUUUACAAGGGUAUCAACAAUCUCUAACGGUGGAUCUUCCAUCCACCCUGCACGCAGCUUACUUCUCGCUAGUUUGGCUAAAUCAUGGGCAGCACAAUUAGUCUCUCUAGGAGCAUGCUCAAAAAUAAUAUGCGGGAAAUCACAUGCAGGGUGAUAUAUAUAAUCAAAAACGGCCGCUGAUAGACCGUAAUAGUGAUACGUCUCCAACGUAUCUAUAAUCUUUGAUGUAUUCAUGUCAUGUUUAUAAUAUUUUUACAUGCUUUUGGUAUGAUUUGGUUAGAACUAACCCGGACCGACGUUCUUUUCAGUAGAACUACCAUGGUGUUGUUUUUGUGCAGAAAUAAAAGUUCUCGGAAUGUGCUGAAAAUCAACGGAGAUUUUUUUUCGAAAAUAUAAAAAAUACUGAAACAAAAACUUAUCGAAGAGGAGUCCCGUGGGGCCCACGAGGGCGAAGGGCACGCCCACCCCCAUAGGGCACGCCCCUGUGCCUCAUGGACUCCCCGUGGGUCCCCUAACUUGUUCGCGACGCCAAACCCUCCUAUAAAUACCCGAACUUCCAAAAAGAAACCUAGAUCGGGAGUUCCGCCACCGCAAGCCUCUGUAGCCACCAAAAACCUCUUUGAGCCCGUUUCGGCACCCUGUCGGAGGGGGAAUCCAUCACCGGUCGCCGUCUUCAUCAUCCCGGCACUCUCCAUGACGCGGAGGGAGUAGUUCACCCUCGGGGCUGAGGGUAUGUACCAGUAGCUAUGUGUUUGAUCUCUCUCUCUCUCUCUCUCUCUCUCUCUCUCUCUCUCUCUCGUGUUCUUGAUUUGGCACGAUCUUGAUAUACCGCGAGCUUUGCUAUUAUAGUUGGAUCUUAUGAUGUUUCUCCCCCUCUACUCUCUUGUAAUGGAUUGAGUUUUCCCUUUGAAGUUAUCUUAUUAGACUGAGUCUUUAAGGAUUUGAGAACAGUUGAUGUAUGUCUUGCAUGUGCUUAUUUGUGGUGACAAUGGGAUAUCACGUGAUCUACUAGAUGUAUGUUUUGGUGGUCAACUAGCGGGUUCAGUGACCUUUGAACUUAUGCAUAGGGGUUGGCACAUGUUUUCGUCUUGACUCUCCGGUAGAAACUUUGGUGCACUCUUUCAAGUUCUUUGUGUUGGUUGAAUAGAUGAAUCUGAGAUUGUGUGAUGCAUAUCAUAUAAUCAUACCUGCGGAUACUUGAGGUGACAUUGGAGUAUCUAGGUGACAUUAGGGUUUCGGUUGAUUUGUGUCUUAAGGUGUUAUUUUACCAUGAAUUCUAGGGCUGUUUGUGACACUUAUAGGAAUAACCCAAUGGAUUGAUCGAAAUGAAUAACUUUGAGGUGGUUUCGUACCCUACAAUAAUCUCUUCAUUUGUUCUCUGCUAUUAGUGACUUUGGAGUGACUCUUUGUUGCAUGUUGAGGGAUAGUUAUAUGAUCCAAUUAUCUUAUUAUUGUUGAGAGAACUUGCACUAGUGAAAGGAUGAACCCUAUGCCUUGUUUCCUACCAUUGCAAUACCGUUUACGCUCACGUUUACCACUUGCUACCUUGCUGUUUUUUAUAUUUUUAGAUUACAAAAACCUAUAUCUACCAUCCAUAUUGCACUUGUAUCACCAUCUCUUCGCCGAACUAGUGCACCUAUACAAUUUACCAUUGUAUUGGGUGUGUUGGGGACACAAGAGACUCUUUGCUAUUUGGUUGCAAGGUUAUUUGAGAGAGACCAUCUUCAUCGUACGCCUCCCACGGACUGAUAAACCUUAGGUCAUCCACUUGAGGGAAAUUUGCUACUGUCCUACAAACCUCUGCACUUGGAGGCCCAACAACGUCUACAAGAAGAAGAUUGUGUAGUAGACAUCAAAUAGCGACAUCAAUUAUUCAUUAUCUCUAUCACCUCUAUGCAAUUACACCAAUCGAUUUACCCGUUUCAUGCCGCGAUGAAUCUACCAUUCGAGUCUCUGAUGACGGUGCCAUAUGAGCCAUAAGUCUGGGUCAAAAGCCCAAUCUAUGUUUAGCUUCACAUAGUUGCUCUUUGGUAUUUCCCAGCCAUGAUGCUUGAUCUUCGCUUUUGCAUCACUCGUCGUAGUACAGUUAGCAACCAAAGCUAUGAUUGCCAUUGCUAUGAACAUAGGUUCUUGGACCAUUUCAAUACGCACUAACUCCCCCCCCCACCGACCAUAAAUAUCAGGAACCAAUAGCAAUUGAUUCUAUUGAAUUUUCUAGACCGAGGACCACACAUUCUUUAGCUAGUUGCAACAAUAAAUAUUCGAGCACAACUUCUCCCACAUGAUCCACAGUGCAUGCUUUAUCAAUAGAAAAGUCCAAACCUAGUAAUCAUCAUACCUCUUUAGCUCUUGCACAAGUGAAUAACAAGUGCUUGGUAUCAUUGAUGACCCACAAGUAUAGGGGAUCUAUCGUAGUCCUUUCGAUAAGUAAGAGUGUCGAACCCAACGAGGAGCAGAAGGAAAUGACAAGCGGUUUUCAGCAAGGUAUUCUCUGUAAGCACUAAAAUUAUAGGUAAGAGAUAGUUGUGUGCCAAGAUAAUUUGUUACGUAACAAGAAACGAAAUUACACAAGGUGCAGCAAGGUGGGCCAAUCCUUUCUAUAGCAAAGGAAAAGCCUGGACAAACUCUUAUAUAAAGCAAAGCGCUCCCGAUGACACAUGGGAAUUAUUGUCAAGCUAGUUUUCAUCAUGCGCAUAUGAUUCACAUUCGUUACUUUGAUAAUUUGAUAUGUGAGUGGACCGGUGCUUGGGUGAUGCCCUUCCUUGGACAAGCCUCCCACUUAUAAUUAACCCCUCUCGCAAGCAUCUGCAACUACGGAAGAAGAAUUAAGGUAAACCUAACCAUAGCAUGAAACAUAUGGAUCCAAAUCAGCCCCUUAGGAAGCAACACAUAAACUAGGGUUUAAUAUUAUGUCGCUCUAGCAACCCAUCAUCUACUUAUUACUUCCCAAUGUCUCCCCCUAGUCCCAAAUCAUGGUGAAGUGUCGUGUAGUCGAUGUUCACAUAACAACACUAGAGGAGAGACAACAUACAUCUUCAUCAAAAUAUCGAACGAAUACCAAAUUCACAUGACUACUUAUAACAAGACUUCUCCCAUGUCCUCAGGAAAAAACGUAACUACUCACAAAGCAUAUUCAUGUUCAUAAUCAUACGGGUAUUAAUAUGCAUUAAGGAUCCGAACAUAUGAUCUUCCACCAAAUAAACCAAUUAGCAUCAACUACAAGGAGUAAUCAACACUACUAGAAACCCAUAGGUACCAAUCUGAGGUUUGGGUACAAAGAUUGGAUACAAGAGAUGAACUAGGGUUUGAGAGGAGAUGGUGUUGAUGAAGAUGUUGAUGGAGAUUGACCCCCUCCCGAUGAGAGGAUCGUUUGUGAUGACGAUGGUGAUGAUUUCCCCCUCUCGGAGCGAAGUUUCCCCAGCAGAACAGCUCCGCCGGAGCCCUGGAUUGGUUCCGCCAAGGUUCAUAAUUAUAGGAGUAUUAAUUAUCAUUAAGGAUCUGAACAUAUGAUCUUCCACCGGAUAAACCAACUAGCAUCAACUACAAGGAGUAAUCAACACUACUAGCAACCCACAUGUACCAAUCUGAGGUUUUCAGAGAUAGAGGUGUCGAUAAAAUAAAAUACGGGCAUGAGGGCAUCAUGAUCAUCUUUAUAACAGCAACAUAUAUUGUCAUAUGAUUUCUUAUGCUAACUAAGAAUUCAUUCACAAGGUAAAGUAUGAAUCGGAAACUUCAUUGAAAACUAACAAACUAUGAUCUCAGUCGUUGAAGCAAUUGCAAUCUAUCAUAACAUUGGAAAGAGUCAAUAUAAGAGCUUUUCAACAAGUCUAGACACUCAACUAUCGUUUAGUCUUUCACAAUUGCUAACACUCACGUGAUACUUAUGGAUACAAAGUUUCAAUCGGACACAGAGAAAGAUAGGGGCUUAUAGUUUCGCCUCCCAACCUUUUAGCUCAAAGGUAAUGUCAACAAUAAUACUAUAUGAAAACCUACAUCCGAGUNNNNNNNNNNNNNNNNNNNNNNNNNNNNNNNNNNNNNNNNNNNNNNNNNNNNNNNNNNNNNNNNNNNNNNNNNNNNNNNNNNNNNNNNNNNNNNNNNNNNNNNNNNNNNNNNNNNNNNNNNNNNNNNNNNNNNNNNNNNNNNNNNNNNNNNNNNNNNNNNNNNNNNNNNNNNNNNNNNNNNNNNNNNNNNNNNNNNNNNNNNNNNNNNNNNNNNNNNNNNNNNNNNNNNNNNNNNNNNNNNNNNNNNNNNNNNNNNNNNNNNNNNNNNNNNNNNNNNNNNNNNNNNNNNNNNNNNNNNNNNNNNNNNNNNAAGGAUAAAGUGUAAGAAGGAAAAGUGAAGAUCACCAAGACUCUUGUAUAAGGGUAGAAGGUAAAAAUAAAAGAUACAGCCUUCGCAGAGGGAAAAAGAGGUUGUCAUGCGCUUUUAUGGUUGGAUGCAGAAAAUCUUAAUUCAAAAGAAUGUCACUUUAUAUUGCCGCUUGUGAUAAGGAUCUUUAUUAUGCAGUCCGUCACUUUUAUUUCUUCCACAUCACAAGUUCGUAUAAAGCGUAUUUUCUUCAAACUAAUAGACCAUAAAAAUUUAUAGAGCAAUUUUUAUUGCUUGCACCGAUGACAACUUACUUGAAGGAUCUUACUCAAUCCAUAGGUAGGUAUGACGGACUCUCAUGGCAAAACUGGGUUUAGGGAUGUUUGUAAGCACAAGUAGUAUCUCUACUUGGUGCAAAGAAUUUGGCUAGCAUGAGAGGGAAAUGCAAGCUCAACAUGUUGGAUGAUCGAUGACAAUAUAACUUCAUCCGGAUAUAGGAAAACAUAACCCACUAUGUUGUCUUCCUUGUCCAACAUGAACCUUUUAGCAUGUCAUAUUUUAAUGAGUGCCCACAAAAGAUGUCCAAGAUAGGGUAUUUAUAUGUAAAACCUCUCUUUCUUUAUUACUUCCAAUUAAUUGCAGCAGUGACCAAAACUAUGUUUGUCAACUCUCAACAACUUUUAUUCAUCAUACUCUUUAUAUGUGGAGUCAUUACUCUCCAUAAGAUCAACUUUUAUUCAUCAUACUCUUUAUAUGUGGAGUCAUUACUCUCCAUUAGAGAUUGUUUUUACAUUAUAAUGAGUUAUUAAAUCACUAGCUGAAAUAACCUUGGUUUAGUUUCAAGUGCAUGGAUCCAAAGUAACCAAUGGUCACUUUGGAUCUAUCCAUUUGAAACUAAUCCGCGGUUCUUUCACCCAAUGACAUAAUAACUUAUCAUCAUCAUCAUCAUCAUCAUCAUCAUCAUAAUAUCAUUAACAACUUAUCAUCAUAAUAUAUCAUUGUCAUAUAACUCCUCAUAAUCAUCACUUUCGUCCAUGAGACAUCAUAUAACAACUUCAUCACUAGUUAUAAUAACAACUCCUCAUCAUCAUCAUCAUAAUACUCAUAAUCGCUACUCCUACUCAGCAACACCAUCAAGUCUAAGACAUUCUAGUCAUAUAUAAUCAACAGUAACUUAUUGUUCUUAAUACUUAGGACUUACUCCUCUAUCCUAGCUAAAAUACCAUAAAACAGAUAAACUGGUCCUUCAUAAUAAUGGAGAAUGGACAUAAACCUAUCUCCAACUUGUGGCUUGUGCACAUUCAUUUUGUCUCCAAUUAUUUGCGUGUGCGCAUUCAUCACUUUGCUCCAUUCUUUGAUUUUCAGUCUUCCAUCAUUUGGAGAAAUCGAGUAUGCAGUAUGGUAAGCCUUUGAAGGAGUUGGUCGUAAGCUAACCAUAUGCAUAUCACCUUCGGUAAAUAGCAUGUCAGGCAGAACCUACUUUGGGAGCCUCUGUUCAAAAACGUAAUGUAAACAUAUAUAUUUAGCAAUGUAGUUUACUUAAGAAUAAUGUAUGCAAUGAAGUUACCAUCAUUAAUAAAAUCUUACCAAGUUUUUGGCAAUGAAGUUACCAUCAAGCAAUUUAUGGACUAGUGGCACGUAUCUAGUGUAAUUUGGGCUGAUAGAGUGACUGGUUUUGAAGGCCUCAACAUCUUCUAUGAAUGAGACAAGAUAACCUUUCUCCUCACAAUUAAGCUUGGAGUCAUAGUUGUAGUAUGUGUUGUCUACUACCUUCCGAGUAUUUUUUGAAAAUAAGAAAUAAGUUGAUAAUUAUAAAUAAAUAAGUUUAGUAAGGAUGAACACCAAAUAUUUUUAAAUUAUCAACAUAAAUAACUGAACUUAACAAAUUAGUUUGACAAACUCACAUCUAGGCAAAACUGGAGGCAUAUCCACGUCACCCAGAUGUCGAUAUUAUCAUCAUCAUCAUCAUCUUCGGGACGAAUAUCAAAUCUUAUUCGCAUUCCCUCCUCAAGUCCAUAUGCCUUGUAGAGAGCUUCCCAAUUAGAGCAACCGAAAUGGGAGCAAUCGACCGCAUUAUACAACUUAACCAGAAACUCAUAACCAUGUUUAGUUCUUAAGUGAGCCCUACUCGUCUCCACAUUCUCAAAGUCAUCUAAACCAAAACCAAGCUUCUCCAAUACAUAUGGUCUAGCAUGGCUCUAGAUGUACUAAUAGAAUUGAAAAAAAUCCAAAAUUACACGUUGGACAAAACAAGCACAAGUGAUGAUAUUAAUUAUGAUGAAAUGCUUGCCGUUGCGUACCGUACAAACAUCAAAGGUCUCUUCCAGCUUCACGGUGAAAAACCUAUCAUUUUGCAGGUGAGGAAACCUGUCACACACACCAUGGUCAUCGUAGCAGUACCCACACUCCGGGAUCCCAUCGUCAUUAGACAUCUCCUAUGUUCAAAAUUCAAAGAUUAUAACUCGACGGCCAAACCCAAAAAAUCCGGCAUGACCUUUGAUAAAAAAGGACAUAUCGAGCGCCUAAAAUUUGCCGGAACGGAAAUUAAUCAACACUCCGGCAAAACAUAGGCCACUUACUAAUGGUCAUUGCAUUUCAAUGGUUGACAAUAUGAACAAAAACAUUUGAAAAUAUCUUAUAUAUAAUCCUAACACUAAAUAAACUAGUUUUAUUAACUACUUACUAAAUAAACUAGUUCUAUUAAGCACUUACUAUAAAUAAACUAGUUCUAUUAAGCACUUACUAAAUAAACUAGUUCUAUUAAGCACUUAAUAUAAAUAAACUAGUUAUAUUAAUCACUUACUAAAUAAACUAUUUCUAUUAAACACUUGCUAAAAAUUCUACUACCCUAGUUCUACCCUAAAUUUUCUUACUUCUAUUUUAUUCAAAACACCUANNNNNNNNNNUAAAUAGCAUGUCAGGCACAACCUGCUUCGGGAGCCUCUGUUCAAAAACGUAAUAGUAAAAUAUAUAGUUGGCAAUGUAGUUUACUUAAGAAUAAUGUAUGCAAUGAUGUUACCAUCAUUAACUAAAUCUUACCAAGUUUUUGGCAAUGAAGUUACCAUCAAGCAAUUUAUGGACUAUUGGCACGUAUCUAGUAUAGUUUGGGUUGAUAGAGUGACUGGUUUUGAAUGCCUGGACAUCUUCUAUGAAUGAGACAAGAUAACCUUUCUCCUCACAAUUAAGCUUGGAGGCAUAGCUGUAGUAUGUGUUGUCUACUAUCUUCCGAGUAUUUCUUGAAGAUAAGAAAUAAGCUGACAACUAUAAAUAAAUAAGUUUAGUACCAACGAACACCAAAUAUUUUUAAAUUAACAAUAUAAAAUACUGAACUUAACAAAUUAGUUUGACAAACUAACAUCUAGGCAAAACUGGAGGCAUAUCCACAUCCACCCAGAUGUCGAUAUUAUCAUCAUCAUCAUAAUCUUUGGGAUGAAUAUCAAAUCUUAUUCACAUUCCCUCCUCCAAUACAUAUGCCUUGCAGAGAGCUUUCCAAUUAGAGAAACCGAAAUGGGAGCGAUCGACUGCAUUGUACAACUUAACCAGAAACUUGUCUCCACAUUCUCAAAGUCAUCUAAACCAAAACCAAGCUUCUCCAAUACAUAUGGUCUAGCAUGGCACGGGAUGUACUAAUCGAAUUGAAAAAAAUCCAUAAAUUACACGUUGAACAAAAGAAGCACAAGUGAUGAUAUUAAUUACGAUGAAAUGCUUGUCGUUGCGUACCAUACAAACAUCAAAGGUCUCUUCCAGCUUCAUGGUGAAAACCCUAUCAUUUUGCAGGUGAGGAAACCUGUCGCACAAACCCCGGUCAUCGUAGCAGUACCCGCACUCCAGGAUCCCAUCUUCAUCAGACAUCUCAUGUGUUCAAAAUUCAAAGAUUAUAACUUGAUGACAAAACCCAAAAAAUCCGGCAUGACCUUGGCUAAAAAAGGAGAUAUCGAGCGCCUGAAAUUUGCCGGAACGGAAAUUAAUCAACACUCCGGCAAAACAUAGGCCACUUAUCGAUGGUCAUUGCAUUUCAAUGGUUGCAAAUAUGAACAAAAACAUUUCAAAAUAUCUUAUAUAUAAUCCUAACACUAAAUAAACUAGUUUUAUUAACUACUUACUAAAUAAACUAGUUUUAUUAACUACUUACUAAAUAAACUAGUUCUAUUAAGCAGUUACUAUAAAUAAACUAGUUCUAUUAAGCACUUACUAAAUAAACUAGUUCUAUUAAGCACUUAAUAUAAAUAAACUAGUUAUAUUAAUCACUUACUAAAUAAACUAUUUCUAUUAAACACUUGCUAAAAAUUCUACUACCCUAGUUCUACCCUAAAUUUUCUUACUUCUAUUUUAUUCAAAACACCUAAAAUAGUCAAAAAAAUAUUCUAUUAAAAAAUCUACAUUCUACAAUGUCUACAUUCUAAAAUCUACAUUUAAAUUACCUACAAUUUGCAAGAAUAGAGACAAGGGAGGNNNNNNNNNNNNNNNNNNNNNNNNNNNNNNNNNNNNNNNNNNNNNNNNNNNNNNNNNNNNNNNNNNNNNNNNNNNNNNNNNNNNNNNNNNNNNNNNNNNNNNNNNNNNNNNNNNNNNNNNNNNNNNNNNNNNNNNNNNNNNNNNNNNNNNNNNNNNNNNNNNNNNNNNNNNNNGAGGGAGGGGCGGUUGGAGGAGGAGGAGGGAGGGGCGAUGGAAGGAGGGCUGCCUGCGGAGGAGGGAGGAGGGGGCGCCCGGAGGCGGAGGGAGGAGGGCACGGUGGGAGGAGGAGGAGGGAGGAGGGAGGAGGGCGCGGUGGGAGGAGGAUGGACGGAAGGAGGGAGUACCUCAGUGGCGGACGGACGACAGCAGCGGCGGCGACGGACUACGGGUAUCGGCGCGGGCGAGAGUGACUGAGAGGGAGAGUGAGUGAGUGAGAGAGGGUCGGUAGCGUGAGGGGAUAAGGUAGGGUUAGUAGUAGCACGGGUCAAAUAAAAGCGCUACAGCUAAGGAGAAUAGCAGUAGCGUUGGUCGUGGAUACGCGCUAUUGCUAAGUUGGGCUAGCCAUGUGCGCCCAAUUCAGACAUAGUAGCAGCAUUUUUUGCCAGUACGCGCUACUACUAAAGUUAUAGUAGUAGCGCGGUUUGUUCAUACGCGUUGAUACUAAGUAGCAGUAGCGCAUGAUUUUGUCCAGCGCUACUGCUAAGAUGUUGUGUUUAACAUUUUCCCUAGUAGUGGUGACUCCCUCGACAUCCCUCCUUCUAAGUUCCAUCUGCAUCAACUAAGCAUCGCUGUCCGUGUUGUUGGAGGAGGAGGACGAUAUGAUGUUUGGCCUUGAAAAUUCUGGCAGAAAACAACUCAAAACAAGAACAUGAGAUUUUGCCGUGGUACGGUGGUCAAAACCUUCGGGAGAUUAUAUAAUGAAUUUUUACCGACCAAAAUAAGUAUUGUGCAAGAAAACGGAGUCCGGAGGGCACACGAAGUGGCCACAAGGUAGGGGGGUGCGCCUAGGGGGGUAGGGGCGCCCGCCACCCUUGUGGUGGCCUCGUAUCUCUUUCGGACUACUUUUAACUUUCCUAAAUUUUUAAAUAUUCCAAAACGGAGAAAAAUUGCUAUUAGAAAAGUUUUGGAGUCGGUUUACUUACUGUACCACAUACCUAUUCCUUUUCGAAGUCUGACACGUUCUGGAAAGUGUCCCUUAUGUACUCCUCCGAUGUUAUCGUGUCAAUUAUAUUGGUCUCAACAUUUAUGGGAUUACCUGAGAUAUAAUGUUUGAUUCUUUGACCAUUUACCACCUUCGGAUUUGUGCCUUCGGAAUUGUUGAUUUUGAUGGCACCAGAACUAUAGACCUCCUCAAUAAUGUAAAGACCUUCCCAUUUAGAGAGAACUUUUCCUGCAAAAAAUCUUAAACGGGAGUUGUAUAGCAAAACAUGACCACCUACAUUAAACUCACGCAUUUGUAUCCUUUUUUCAUGCCAUCUUUUAACUUUUUAUUUAAAGAACAUGGCAUUCUCAUAGGCUUGUGUUCUCCACUCAUCAAGCGAGCUAAUGUCAAAUAACGUCUUCUCAUAGGCAAGUUUGAAAUCAUGGUUGAUCUCUUUAAUAGCCCAGUAUGUCUUAUGUGUUCAAGAGGUAAGUGACAAGUGUUUCCAUAAACCAUUUUAUUCGGAGACAAACCCAUAGGAUUUUUAUAAGCAGUUCUAGCCCAUAAUGCAUCAAGUUUCUUGGACCAAUUCUUUCUAGAUCUAUUAACAUUCUUUUGCAAAAUCAAUUUAAUCUCUCUGUUACUCAAUUCUACUUGACCACUAGACUGAGAAUGAUAUGGAGAUGCAAUUCUAUGGUUAACAUUGUACUUAGCAAGCGUUUUACAAAAAGCACCAUGAAUAAAAUGUGAACCAUCAUCUGUCAUUAAAUAUCUAGGGACUCCAAACCUCAGAAAAGAGUAACUUCUUUAAGCAUCUUAAUAGAAGUGUUAUGAUCAGCACUACUAGUUGGACUAGCUUCUACUCACCUAGUAACAUAAUCAAUAGCAACUAAAAUAUGUGUAUACCCAUUGGAGGAAGGAAAAGGUCCCAUAUAAUCAAAGCCCCAAACAUCAAAUGGUUCAAUAAUGAGUGCAUAAUUCAUAGGAAUUUCUUGACGUCUACCUAAGCAUCGGAGUGACACUUGUGUAUGAUCUGUUCCUGUUCAUACUCAGGUACACAAAGUCUAAUAACACCAUCUACUCCUUCUUUAUAAAGGUGUGGGUCAUCCCAAAAGUAAUGUCUUAAAUCAUAGAAAAACUUUUUCUUUUGCUGGUAUGCGAAACUAGGUGCUAUAAAUUUAGCAACAAUGUAAUUAGCAUAUAUAAUCGGCAUACGAUGGAGCAGUGCGUGAAGCAUUUAUGACAGCUAAUUAUUCAUCAGGAAAGUUAUCAUCAAUAGGCAGUGGGCCAUCAAGAAUAUUUUCUAACCUAGACAAAUUGUCUGCAACGAGGUUCUCAGCUCCCUUUCUAUCAAUAAUAUGCAAAUCAAAUUCUUGUAACAAGAGAACCCACCUAAUAAGUCUAGGUUUAGCAUCUUUCUUUUCCAUAAGAUAUUUAAUAGGAGCAUGAUCAGUGUGAACAAUUACUUUGGAAUCAACAAUAUAAGAUAUGAACUUAUCACAAGCAAUUACAAGUGCUAAAAAUUGUUUUUCAAUAGUAGCAUAGUUUCUCUGGGCACUAUCUAGAGUUUUACUAACAUAAUGGAUAACAUUUAAUUUCUUAUCAACUCUUUGUCCUAGAACAACACUAACAACAUAAUCACUAGCGUCACACAUAAUUUUAAAGGGUAAAUUCCAAUCAGGUGACUGAACAAUACGUGUAGAAAUCAAGGCCUUCUUAAGUAUCAAAUGCUUUUACACAAUCAUCAUCAAAAACAAAAGGAACAUCUUUUUGCAAGAGAUUAAUGAGAGGCCUAGAAAUUUUACAGAAGUCUUUAAUAAACCUCCUAUAGAAACCAGCAUGACCAAGGAAAUUUCUUAUACCUUUUAUAUCUUUAGGACACAACAUCUUUCCAAUAGCAUCUACUUUAGCUUUAUCAACUUGAAUACCUCUUUCAGAAAUUUUAUGCCCCAAGACAAUACCUUCAUUAACCAUAAAGUGGAACUUCUCCCAAUUCAAGACAAGAUUAGUUUCCUCACAUCCCUGCAAAACUCGAUCAAGGUUGCUUAAGAAAUCAUCAAAAGAAGUUCCGUAAACAGAGAAAUCAUCCAUGAAAACCUCAAUAGUCUUUUCACAAAAGUCAGAGCAUAUAAAAGUCAUACAUCUUUCAAAGAUAGCAGGUGCAUUGCAUAAACCAAAAGGCAUACGUCUAUAAGCAAAAGUGCCAAAAAGGCAAGUAAAAGUGGUCUUUUCCUGAUCAUUUUUUGACAUAGAUAUUUGAGAAAAACCAGAAUAACCAUCUAGGAAGCAAAAAUGUGUAUGUUUGGAUAGUCUUUCUAGCAUUUGAUCAAUAAAAGGUAGAGGGUAAUGAUCUUUUCUAGUAGCUUUAUUCAAUUUGCGGAAAUCAAUUACCCUUCUAUAACCUGCAAAUAAUUCUUUGUGGGAUCCAUUCAUUCUUAUCAUUAGGAACAACAGUAAUACCUCCCUUCUUAGGGACAUAAUGAACGGUACUUACCCACUGACUAUCAGCAAUAGGAUAAAUAUACAUGCCUCUAGAAGAUUUAGUAUUUCAUUUCUUACCACUUCUUUCAUUUUAGGAAUUAAUCGUCAUUGGUGAUCAACAACUGGUUUAGCAUCUUUUUCCAAUUUUAUUUUGUGCUGACAUAGAGUGGGACUAAUGCCCUUAAGAUCAUCAAGAGUAUAUCCAAUAGCGGCAUGGUGCUUCUUCAGAGUUUUGAAUAGUUUCUUUUCUUCAUGCUCUAAAAGGUUAGCACUAAUAAUAACAGGAUAUAUCUUAUUUCCAUCGAGAUAAGAAUAUUUAAGAGUAUCAGGUAAUUGUUUAAGCUCAGACACAGGAUCACCCUUGGGUGGAGGAGGAUCUCCGAGAAUUUCAACAGGCAAACUAUGUUACAAAAUAGGCCCUUGAUUAAAGAAUACUUCAUCUAUUUCCCUUCUUUCAUUCAUAAACAUAUCAUUUUCAUGGUCUAGCAAAUAUUGUUCUAAAGGAUCAUUAGGAGGCACGGAAAUAGAAGCAAGACCAGUAAUUUCAUCCUUACUAGGCAAUUCUUUAUCAUGAGGUUGUCUACGAAAUUUAGAAAAAUUAAAAUGAUGAGACAUAUCCCCUAAAUCAACAGUAACAAUAUCCUUUUCAUAGUCUAUCUUAGCAUUAACAAUAUUCAAGAAUGGGUCUACCAAAUAUAAUGGGACAAAAGUCAUCUUGCAGGGAAGCAAGAACAAGAAAAUCAGUAGGGUAUUUUAUUUUCGCACACAAUACUUCAACAUCUCUAACAAUCCCAACUGGUAAAUAGUGUCUCUAUUGGCAAGCUUAAUAGUAACAUCAAUAUCUUCUAUCUCAGCAGGUGCAAAUAUCAUUCAUAAUUUCUUCAUAUAAGGUAUAAGGUAUUGCACUCACACUAGAACCCACAUCACACAAGCCAUGAUAACAAUGAUCUCCUACUUUAACAGAAACUAUAGGCAUGCCAACAACAGGUCUAUGUUUAUCUUGAGUGUCAUGUUUAGCAAUCCUAGCAGCUUCAUCACAGAAAUAAAUAACAUGCCCAUCAAUAUUAUCGACCAAGAGAUCCUUAAUCAUAGCAAUAUUAUGUUCAACUUUAAUUUGUUCAGGGGGUGUAGGUGUUCUAGUAUAACUCUUACGAACCACAGUUUAAGAUUUAGCAUGAUCCUUUAUUCUAACAAGGAAAGGUGGUUUCUCAAUAUAAGCAGUAGGAACAAUUGGAUCAAAAUUAUAAGUAAUACUUUCUUCUUCAACCUUAAUAGGUUCUAGUACUUUAACUUCAAUGGGAGGAUGAUAUUUAAACCACUUCUCCCUAGGUAGAUCAACAUGAGUAGCAAAUGAUUCACAAAAAGAAGCUACUAUCUCAGAUUUGAAUUAUGUGUUCUUCAUCGUAAAAGAUCCAGUACAAGAAGUAUCGAGCAUGGAUCGAUCAUUAUGAGAAAGCCGAACAUAAAAAAUUUGGAUAAUAAUUUCUCUUGAGAGAUCAUGAUUUGGGCAUGACUAUAACAUUGAGUUAAGCCUCCCCCAAGGUUCAGCAAUACUUUCUCCUUCACGAGGCCGAAAAUUAUAUAUAUAAUUCCGAUCACGAUGAACCAGAUGCAUAGGAUAAAACUUCUGAUGAAAUUCCAAUUUCAAUCGGUUGUAGUUCCAUGAUCCAAUAUAAUCACAUAGCCUAUACUAUGUCAAUGCCUUUCCCUUCAAAGAUAAAGGGAAGACCUUCUUCUUGACAACAUCUUCGGGAAUACCUGCAAGCUUAAAUAAUCCACGAACUUCAUCCACAUAGAUUAGGUGCAUAUCAGGAUGUAAUGUUCCAUCUCCUCUGUAAGGAUUAGCUUGCAGUUUCUCUAUCAUACCCAAAGGAAUUUAAACAUAAAUAUUUUCGGUAGGUGCAGUAGGUUGAGGAGCAACUAUUUGCUCUUUCGGUUGAGGUGAAGAUACCCAGAACAAACCCCUCAAAGGAUUAUUUUCCAUAGUAACAAGUGACAGUAAAUUUCAGCACAAUAUAUAAAUGUUUCCUUACCAAAUUCCACUUACCAAAGGCGCUUCACUCCCCGGCAAUGGUGUCGUAAAAGAGUCUUGAUGACCCACAAGUAUAGGGGAUCUAUCGUAGUCCUUUCGCUAAGUAAGAGUGUCCAACCCAACAAGGAGCAGAAGAAAAUGACAAGCGGUUUUUAGCAAGGUAUUCUCUGCAAGCACUGCAAUUUUUGGUAAUAGAUAGUUGUGUGAUAAGAUAAUUCGUAAUGGGUAACAAGCAACAAAAGUAAACAAGGUGCAUCAAGGUGGGCCAAUCCUUUUUUUUAGCAAAGGAUAAGCCUGGACAAACUCUUAUAUAAAGCAAAGAGCUCCCGAGGACACAUGAGAAUUAUCGUCAAGCUAGUUUUCAUCAUGCUCAUAUGAUUCGCAUUAGUUACUUUGAUAAUUUCAUAUGUGGGUGGACCGGUGAUUGGGUGAUGCCCUUCCUUGGACAAGCCUCCCACUUAUUAUUAACCCCUCUCGCAAGCAUCCGCAACUACAAAAGAAGAAUUAAGGUAAAACUAACCAUAGCAUGAAACACAUGGAUCCAAAUCAGCCCCUUACGAAGCAACGCAUAAACUAGGGUUUAAGCUUCUGUCACUCUAGCAACCCAUCAUGGUGAAGUGUCAUGUAGUCGACGUUCACAUAACACCACUAGAGGAGAGACAACAUACAUCUCAUCAAACUAUCAAACGAAUACCAAAUUCACAUGGUUACUUAUAACAAGACUUUUCCCAUGUCCUCAGGAACAAACGUAACUACUCACAAAGCAUAUUCAUGUUAAUAAUCAGGGGAGUAUUAAUUAUCAUUAAGGAUAUGUACAUAUGAUCUUCCACCGGAUAAACCAAAUAGCAUCAACUACAAGGAGUAAUCAGCACUACUAGCAACCCAUAGGUACCAAUCUGAGGUUUUGAGACAAAGAUCAGAUACAAGAGAUGAACGAGGGUUUGAGAGGAGACGGUGCUGGUGAAGAUGUUGAUGGAUAUUGACUCCCUCUCAAUGAUAUGAUCGAUGGUGAUGACGAUGGCGAUGAUUUCCCCCUCCCGCAGGGAUGUUUCCCCGGUAGAACAACUCCGCUGGAUCCCUAGAUUGGUUUUGCCCAGGUUCCGCUUCGAGACGAUGGCGCUUCAUCCCGGAAGCUUCUCUCCUAUUUUUUUCAGGGUAAAAGACACCAUAUAUCAGAAGAUGGGCGUCGGGGGCCUGCCAGGGGGCCCACAAGGUAGGGGUGCGCACCCAGGGAGGUAGGGCGCGCCCUCCGCCCUUGUGGUUGGCUGGUGGCCCUCCUCUAGAGCUUUCUUCGCCCAAUAUUUUUUAUUUAUUCCAAAACUGAUCUCCGUGAAUUUUCAGGACUUUACUAGUCCGGAAUUCCAGCUAUCGAAAUUCUCCCUCUUCAUGUGAACCUUAUAAAAUAAGAUAGAAAAGACAUAAGUAUUGUGAUAUAACGUGUAAUAACAACCCCUAAUGCAAUAAAUAUUGAUAUAAAAGCAUGAUGGAAAAUGGACAUAUCAAUCAUCUUCUCCAAUAUCGCAUGUAGGACAUUGCCCACUGACUUUUAUAUGCCUGCUAGCCAAUGUCACCCGACAAGGUAGCGAGUCUAACAAAGUUGGUUAGAGGAAACAUUUAACCUUGGCCGGACAACUUAAGCUCCAGAUGGUCCCCCAUAUUGGUGAAAUCCGUGAAAGUCCGACUGUAUUUUCUCAUGAUAUCACAAAUAUUAGUUAUGAACUUAUGAUGCAGGCUCAAGUAUAAUAAAAAACACUCAUCGUGAACAAUGGAAAAACCAAAAAGAUAAUAUACAAAAUAUCUUACAAUGAAAUGUACCCAAGGGUUAGAUGACAACUCACUCUUCUGAGACGUUGUGUUUGGAGAUCAAUAAUACACUAUACCAACACAAAUGCAUGUUUGGUGAUUGUUUAAUGCACAUGAAAGGUACAAAGUUUGCAGAACUAUAUAUAUAACCAAUGCGUCCAUUUAUAGUAUUAGCCAACAGAAAAAGUCAUGCAUUUCCAUUUAUAUUCUUUAGUGAUAGGUACAUGACAAUCACAAUCUCAUGUGUAAACAAUAGGGCCAUACAAUGCAUCCUUGGUUGACUACGAUGGUAACGGAUAAUAGAUACUACAAUUACUGUGAAAGUUUUGUAUAUCCCAUAACGGAAGAUCCGGCACCUCAUAACAACCGAUCCAUGUCAUUCGUGGGCCAGAUAAUGUCACUGGUUGAUAUCGACGCCACUAUGGCAAUUAUUGCCGUCUCAACAAGCAAGUACCUUCUUCCAUGGUAUGAUUUCAUUGUUAGAAUCUGUAACUACAUAUGUGUGUGUGGCUAUAUCAUCUAGAACUACAUAUGUGUGUGGCUAUAUCAUCUAGAACUACAUAUGAUGAUCGUCGUCGAUAUCAUCUAGAACUACAUAUGAUGAUCGCCGUUUAUAUCACCUUGUACUGCUUGAGGAUGCAUGUUGACUAUGCAUGAAAUUGUUAUCUAGUACUCCCUUCGUUCCAAAUUACUCGUCAUGGUUUGAACUAAAACCACGACGAGUAAUUUGGAACGAAGUGAGUACUACCCAGUAAUGGUUUAUGAAUUUGAUAUCUACUAGCAGUACCUAGUAUCUAGUAUCUAAAAGGGAAACCGAAAGGGAAAGGGAUACGGGAAAAUGAUAAAAGAUAUAGCAGUAGCGAGGGACUGCGAAAUCGCUACAGCUAAGUAAUAGUAGCGCGUUCAUAAAAAGCGCUGCUGAUAUCAUCAACAGUAGUAGCGCGGGUAUGGACCGCGCUACUACUAAAAGUUAGUUGUAGCGCCUUAUUAGUAGCGUAGCCACCCGCGCUGCUGCUAGCCCAAAAACCCGCGCUACUACUAGGAUUUUCCCUAGUAGUGAUGUCGAACAGAUUUUUGGCUUUAGGAUCCGUGUGAGGCCCAAGCGUUGAGCCCAUGACGGAUGCCUAUAUAAAGUGGGGGUGCGGCACACUCAUGCAAUUGAUCGCUUCGGCGCUGUCACUAGGGUUUCCAUGUGUUGCGAAUAGCCACCUCCACUCGCUACUGACUGUGUGAUCAGACCUAGCAGUCCGUCGCACGGUGUUCCUCCUGCACGCGUGGAUGCCGCUAGAGGCGGUGCACCUGCGCCGCUCUAGCGAACUUGUACGUUGGAUCGGACGACCGGCUGUUUGAGGGAGAUCAGACGAGGAGAUGAUCCAUGUUGACGCGCUGCCCCAAAUCUUCUUCCGCUGCACGGCACUGCGCUCUGCGCGUCUACUGGUAACGAUCUGCGAUCCAUCUUCCGUAGCAUGUUCUUGGUUGUUCUGCGUAUAGAAUUUUUUUAAUUUGUAGCCGACGCACCCUACCGUAGAAUCCAACAAGGCAAACACGCCCGCUAGUAAGUUACUCGCUCGUCAUUAGUAAUCACUUACAAGUGGCAUCAUACUAGUGGUGUGCCGAUCGAACGCCGCUAGUAGGCACAUGCGCAAGCUGCUAAUAAGGGAUCCUGUACAUUGGUGGUGGGAGUCACGAUACUCGUGGGCGAAGCUCUUAACUAAGGUGCGGGAUGGUGGCCAUGUCCGUGCAGGGGGUGGGGUGAUUGCGGUACGGCGUUCAGUGGCGUUGAUGUGGGAGGUGUCUUCAUUACUAGUUGUACUAUGUUGCAGAGGCUGCUACCUCUUCCUCAAGGCACCGCCUGGGAGUACAUGGUUGAGGGCUCUCAUGACUUCAAGAAAUGUGCUCUCUAUCCUACCAGCCAUUUUCUUGGAGUUUUUUGUCUUUUUUCGAAAAGAAGAAUAACCUUGGCCUCUGCAUCAAACAAUGCACUCAUCCAUCUUUAUUAAAUUAUUCAACAGAGGCUGGCACAAUAAAUACAAGGAUUAAUCCAAAGCCACCUUUCUGACGAACUAUGUCGCUACACCUAUAAGCUUGAUGAUGAACCCCGACCGCACCAACGCACACCAUCUAAUCUGGUGGACUACGAGAGUCACCGCCUGCGAGCCGAGAGCACCAACCGUCCUAGCAAACCCAAUGCGCACACCACAUGCGCGUGGUCCAGGAUCAUGCGCUACCAUCUACCGAUAUCCCAUCUUCAAGAGUGAUCCUUGCACUAACCUUGCUAGGCCCACAUGACGUCGACGCUGCCACGACGCUAGACAACGCCACCAGCCUGCGUGUAGCCAUCAGCCCACCUCCAACACCGAUACUCCACCGCACCAUGCCACCGAGACCCACCGUUCUUGAUGCGGUAGAUGCAACACCGCUCCACCUCUUGUCCCCUCCAUUCGGUACCUACUCCAAACAGUGCCCCAGGAGAGAGAAUGACACAACUCCCUAUCAUCAUCUGAUCUGGAAGACCCAGAUCUAGGAUUUUUCCCGGAGCAGAUGCCUCCUAGAGGAAGAAGGGCACACCAUUUGCAGUUGCCAACGAACCCAAAGGGUGCCCACCCACACAACGAGCCAUUUUCUUGGAGUUGUUUUGUUGUUCUUCAGCAUCCUUGUACAAUGCCUUGUGUGCAUGUGUUGCGGUGUCAUGUCGUGUUGUGUUGUAUGUUUUGAAUUGCACGAUUUGUAUAUAAAGUGGAGCGGAAGUCUUUUUGAGAAAUAGUAAGAUCAAUUGCCUCAGUUGAAACUUGAAAGUGCAUUUUUUGACUUUGACAACGGAAGUCAGGGCCAAGGCCGACCUGAUGCGUAGGAAAAGGGACAAGCACACGUACAUCCUAUAUGUACCAAGCUUUUUUGUUCUUUUUGUUGCUUGUUGUUUGCUUCCGCUUAAUCCUACGAGAUAUCAAUUGGUUAAUAUAUUUGCUUGAAUAAUGCAUUAUCAUCUGAUUUCUUGUUUAGAUCGAUGUGCUCUCUAUUUUCAAAUAGUUUUGUUCUGGGCCUAUUUUGUUCAAUUGGAUAAUUUCAGCGCACAAAUCUAUCGAAUCGAAAUAAAUCGAUUUAUUUCCUCCGGUUUCCCUUUUUCUAGGAACAUAUUUGUUGUUAUUCGAUAGGACAUAUGUUUUGGGAAACCUAAUCAAAUUAAUAUACAAAAUGCUCACCUUUACUCAAUCGUGUCCCAGCCAUACCUUCUCAUUGGUUUCACNNNNNNNNNNNNNNNNNNNNNNNNNNNNNNNNNNNNNNNNNNNNNNNNNNNNNNNNNNNNNNNNNNNNNNNNNNNNNNNNNNNNNNNNNNNNNNNNNNNNNNNNNNNNNNNNNNNNNNNNNNNNNNNNNNNNNNNNNNNNNNNNNNNNNNCACCUCGGUCGCCAUGACAUCCAGCGAUGGUCAUGCCGAGGGCCAUCAUCGUACGCAGAUCACGCGCUUGUAGAAUAACCUGAGUCACCAUAAUUCGUCUGGGUCAACAUAUCAGCCAUUGUGUUGAUCCCCAAACUCGCGCACAACAUGCUACAUGAUUGGUUCACCGCGGUUGACGUCUUGGAGAAGAUUGCAUGCCACACACCUUUCUUCGGACUCUACGACUCCUUCACAUGCCCAAGAGAACGUGGAUAUGAUACUGAAUGUUUCUUAGCGACCCAAUAUUACUCAUGCAAUUAGCUGGACACAUCUGAGGUUUCACGGACUAGCAAACACAGAGCACAGAUGGAAUUUGAUGCCAUGAAAACUUGUUACUGCUUUUUUAUUUGGAAAACAGAGAGAAAGAACGGUUGUUGCACGACCGACCUAAACACACACCACGUUCCUAAUGACUCGUGCCAUCCCACGAAUCAGAUCAUGCGUGCAUGAUCUACAGCUCCACUAUUAUCGCGUGUGAUCCGAAGUGCCAUGCCAUCCCAUGACUCGGUUCACGACAUGGUAGAAACAGGAGCGACCCCUACCUGACACAUGGACUCGACGCAGACAUGCUUGCCGUCGAGACCGACUCUCAGUGCAUACCGUCUGCUCGCAGGCAGCUGUGUGGCACGUUAUUUGGAACAAACAAAUUGAAAGGAAAAAAAUUAAGGCAUGCACUAAAUUUACUUCAAUAGAUCAGCCCUUGAUCCACAAACCCACAUCGCGAAGUGGUCUUAGUGGAUCUCAUCACUCUCUGAGUCGAUCUCGUCGUUCUCCGAGUCGGAUAAGUGGUUGUCCACCUGCUCGUGCCUAGCCUGCAAUGCCGUCAACCACAAACACCACAUCCAGAUUCCGUUACAUUCCCUCAUCACCCAGGCAGAAAAAACUGAAAACCUUGGAAAAAUAGAAUGGAGACGAGUUCAUACCCUCCUCAUCUGGGCACGAUGGUUCUUGAACCAGAAUUUGAUAUGCUGGGGCUCCACGCGAAACUCGCGACCGAGAUGAGCGCGCUGGGCCUCAUCGGGGUUGGGGCACUCCAUGAAAACACUGCCGUUUUCAAAAAAAAUAAAAGUAAAAGAAAACCAUGAAUACCGUGCACAUGAAUCACCAUGAAAAUAUGACACGAGAAAUAAGCUGUAGGAAAUGGUGCUUGAUCAACCUCUCAAGGAUCUGAAAUUUUUUGUCACUUAGGUCCAUUGUUACCAAUUUCUCGUUUGCUCGCUCACACUCUCCCGGGCUGGCUAGAGGAAGAGAAAGUGGAGGCAGGAAGAUAUCUACAUACUGGAUGCUAUGUGACCUCUGGUUUGCUUCUAUUUAUACACGAGAGGGCGGUGUUUCUCCUCUGUCAGAAUGCUGGCACAAAGAAGGGCCUGUCUGUGUGACCUCUGGCUUGCUGCUGGCAGUCUCCUGGUCGGUCUCUCUUAAUGCCUCCUCCUUUUUGGCUUCUUCCACCCUAUAUUGUUGACCGUCCGUCCCUGUAUUGCUUGGGAGCGCCAGCAGCAGAAACGUUCGCUUUGACUUUUGACCACCUCGGGUCGCUCGCCGGCUGUCUUGAAUGUUUCUCUUUAUGCAUCCUCUCUCUUGGCUUCAUCCCUGGCUUGCUCGCGAGCGCCAGCAGUAGCGUGGUAGUACUAGUAACUAAUGCGAUGUAAUAAGCUUAUAUCAACAAAUUCAAAUCAUAGUACAGGUCAAUUGGGUUAUUGACCUGUGAUGUACUCCCUCGGUAAAGAAAUAUACUCCCUCCGUCUAGGUGUAUAAGUCAUCUUAGGUUGUAAAGAAAUAUACUCCCUCCUCAUUUAGCAGAAUUUGCAAAGCACUUCAAAUCAAUUGGGUUUAUGGACCUGCAUCAGUACGAGUCCUACUGGGUUUGGAUGCAACAAACAAAUGCAGAGUUACCUGAAAAUGGCCGGUGACCUGUCUUGAGUUCGUAAUUUCUCCCAUCCCACAAUUACCAUUGUUCCUCUUGUAGAAAGGGAGAUAAUUAGUCCUGAGUUACGUCCAUGUAUUAGUUGUUAACCAUUAUAUAAUAAAUUCUGCAAUAUUUUACUAGCAUGCAAUUGAUAGGCAUUAAUUUCCAGCCUCUUAAUUAUGUAUGGAUAUCAAAUUAAUCAAUAGUACAGGUGGGUCAUUAUCCUCUAAAUCAUAAUAUUCAAAUUCUAAGUAAGAAAAGCAGAACAAUGACCGACCUAUUAUUGCAAGCCCUAUCAUGUAUCAUUAGGCUAGAUAUGGCAAUAUGUUUGCUUCAGUGCACCAUUGCACUCCUUUUACAAUGGACGUUCUGUUACAAAAUCUUUUCAUCUACAUGGGAGAUUAUAUUUUGUCUUGUUUUCUUAUUAAACAUGAAACAACACAACGUCAAGAUCUUGAUCCACAAUUCUUGUUCCAUAUAAUUUGAUUCAAGUGAAAGUUCUGAAGUAACAUGCCUUUCUUAUUUCCUGUCGUUUGUUCCAAAAAUACGAUAUAUCCUUCAGCCAUAAAACUACAACAACUCAUAAGAACUACAACCAUUUCCCUCUUGCAAAACCUUUUUCAUACUUCCUCCACAACCAUUAUACGUACCAUGCAUAUCCAUGAUGAACCCCGACCACACCAAUGCACGCCAUAUAAUCCGGUGGCCGCCCGAAGUCGGCGCCUGCGAGCCGAGAACACCAACCAGCCUAACAGACCCACAACACAUACCACAUGCGCGCGCUCUAGGAUCCUGCGCUGCCAUCUACUGCCGUCCCAUCUUCAAGAGGGAUCCUUGCACUAACAUUCCCAGGCCCAACCGCCGUUGACACCAGACAAUGUCACUAGCCUCCAUGGAUCCAUCAACCCACCUCCAACGCCGAUACUCCACUGCACCAUGUCGCCGAGACCCACCAUUUUUGAUGUGGUAGAUGCAACACCGCUCCACCUCUUAGCCCCUCCAGUCAGUACCUAUCCAAAAGAGUGCGCUAGGAGAGAGAAUGACACAAGUCUUCGUCAUCAUCCGAUCUUGGAGAACCGGAUCUAGGGUUUCCCCUGGAGCAGAUGCCUCCUGGAGGAAGAAGAGCAUGCCAUCUGCAGUGGCCAUCGAACCCAAACGGUGCCCACCCGCGUAAUGAGCCAUUUUCUUAGAGUUGUGUUGUUGUUCUUCAGCAUCCUUGUACAAUGCCUUGUGUGCGUGUUUUGCGGUGUCGUGUCCUGUUGUGUUGUAUGUGCUGAAUUGUAUGAUUUCUAUAUAAAGUGGAGCGGAAGUCUUGUUGAUAAACAAUGAGAUCAGUUACCUCAGUUGAAACUUGAAAGUGCAUGUUUUGAUUUUGACAGCGGAAGUCAGGGCCAAGGCCGACCUCAUGCGCAGGAAAAGGGACAAGCACACAUGUACCCAAGCUUUUUUCUUCUUUGGUUGCCUAUUGUUUGCUUGCGCUUAAUCCUACCAGAUUAUCAAUUGAUUAAUAUAUUUGCUUGAAUAAUGCAUUAUCAUCUGAUUUCUUGCUUAGAUCCAUGUGUUCUCUAUUUUCAAACAGUUUUGGACUGGGCCUAUUUUUUCAAUUGGAUAAUUUUGGUGCACAAAUUUAUCGAAUCGAAAUAAACCAGUUUAUUUUCUUCUGUUUUCCUUUCUAUAGGAACCUAUGUGUUGGCGUUCGAUAGGACAUAUGUUUUUGAGAAACCUAACCAAGUUCAUAUACCAAAUGCUGACCUUUACUUAAUCAUGUCCCAAGCACCCGUUGUCGUUGGUUUCACGGCAANNNNNNNNNNNNNNNNNNNNNNNNNNNNNNNNNNNNNNNNNNNNNNNNNNNNNNNNNNNNNNNNNNNNNNNNNNNNNNNNNNNNNNNNNNNNNNNNNNNNNNNNNNNNNNNNNNNNNNNNNGCAUGGCAUCCAACGAUGGUCAUGCCGACGGCCAUCAUCAUAUAGAAUCACGCGCUUGUUGCAUAACCUAAGUCGUCGUAGUUCGUCCGGGUCAAUAUAUCGGCCAUUGUGUCGAUCCCCGAACUCGCGCACAACAUAUUACAUGAUUGGUUCACCGCGGUUGACCUCCUUGCCAUUGGAGAACGUUGCAUGCCGCGCAACUUUCUUCGGACUCUACGAUACCUUCACAUGCCCAAGUGCACUUGGAUAUGAUACUGAAUGUUUGUCAGCGACCCAAGAUAACUAAUGCAAUUAGCUGGAUACAUAUGAGGUUUUACUGAAAAAGGCUUUCGUCCCGCUUUAUAUAUAAAGCCACAUCAACAACUUUCGGUACAAACGCACGCCACCACAACACACGCACACACCCAAGGCAGGAUACAUAGGCGCUGAGCGCAACAAUAACACCCCUAACUACGAAGAGAUGAAGCCACAUAUGACGAACCGUGGACUCCAAGACGGCGCCUUCAGGAAGGAUAUGACACCGGAGCCCCGCCACCGCCCGACACGAGGGUCAGAGUUUCCCCUGGAGCAACACAAUGGGCAAUGAGAGCCUGGACGACGCCUUCAAAAAGGGAACGAGUUACGCCGCCGUCAGUCCGUCCGAGGAUAGAAUAGGUUUUCACCCCGGCCAACACUCACCACCACUGAACGCCACACCCAUGCAACCAUGCCGCCCACACGGCCAUGGCCACCGGGCAGCACCAAGCCACGGCCUCUGCCCAUGAGCACCGUGCUCCCACCACCAGGGCCGCCGCCCCCGCAUCCAAGACCAAGAGCCCACCUCACUCGAGACCCAUCGCUACCCCAACCAAAGGGACAAGCGGAAAGGCCCGGCCUUUCGCACCCCUGGGAGGCCCCCAGCGCCGAGACCCAAUCGGCCGGCCAAAAUUGGCCAUCAUCACCGCGUCCUACAGACCCGGGCACGAGGCGAGCUCGGUCCUGCUGCCGGGCGCAAGACGAGCUCGGUCCUGUGACACCGGGCGCGAGACGGGCAAUGGACCGCGGCUGGGAGCCGGCCAGCCCUUUGAUGCAAGUAGUGCCUGAACGACGAGGAGGUGAAGCGAAGGCCGAUACGGCCCGACCGCAGACGAGCCGACGCCGGAGAAGCCGACCGCCGCCGCAAGCAAAUCCGCCGAGCCACCAUGUAGCCGCCGCACCACCAAGAGGUCACCAUGCCGGACCUCCCACGCCGCCGCCCACGGCAAGAACAACAGCCACGCCCGGCCGCUGCCCCCAUGGGAGCAACUGCCACGCCUGGCCAGCCGCCCCAUUCUGCGUCGCCAGCCGCCCCCAUAUGAGGUUUUACUCUAGCAAACACAGAGCACACAUGGAAUUUGAUGCCAUUAAAACUUGCUACAGCUUUUUUAUUUGGAAUACAGAGAGAAAGUACGGUCGUUGCACGAUCGACCUAAACACACACCACGUUCCUAAUGACUCGUGCCAUCCCACGAAUCAGAUCAUGCGUGCAUGAUCUACAGCUCCCCUAUUAUCGUGUUUGAUCCGAUGUGCCAUGCCAUCCCAUGACUCGGUUCAUGACGUGGUAGAAACAGGAGCGACCCCAACCUGACACAUGGACUCGAUGCAUGGACUCGACGCAGACAUGUUUGCCGUCGAGACCGACUCUCAGUGCGUACCAUCUGCUCGGAGGCGGCUCUAUGGCACGUUAUUCGGAACAAACAGAUUGAAGGAAAAAGAACCUAGGGCAUGCACUAAGUUUACUUCAAUGGAUCAGCCCUCCAUCCACAAACCCACAUGGCGAAUUUGUCUUGGUGGAUCUCGUCGUUCUCUGAGUCAAUCUCGUCGUUCUCUGAGUCGAUCUCGUGGUUCUCCGAGUCGGAUAAAUGGUUGUCAACCUGCUCAUCCGUGGCCUGCCAUGGCUUCAAGCACAAACACUACAUCGAGAUCCAUUACAUUCCAUCAUGACCAGGUGGAAAAAACUGAAAUUUGGAAAAAUUGAAAGGAGAUCGAGUUCAUACCCUCCUCAUCUGGGCACGGCGGUUCUUGAACCAGAAUUUGAUCUGCUGUGGCUGCAUGCCAAGUUCGCGGCCGAGAUGGGCGCGCUGGGUCUCAUCAGGGUAGAGGAACACCUUGAAAGUCCUGCAGUUUUCAAAAAAGGAAAAAGAAAACCUUGAAUACCCUGUACAUGGAUCACCAUGAAAAUAUGACAGGAGAAAUAAGCCAUAGGAAAUGGUGCUUCAUCAACCUCUCGAGUAUCUGAAUCUGGUUGUCACUUAGAUCCAUUGUUACCAAUUUCUUGCUUGCUCGCUCACUCUCCCAGGCUACCUAGAGGAAGAGGAAGUGGAGGCAGGAAGAUAUCUUCGUACUGGAUGAUGCGUGCCUCUGGUUUGCUCCUAUUUAUACAUGAGAGGCUGGUGUUUCUCCUCUGUCACAGUGCUGGCGCAAAGAAGCGCCCGUCUGUGUGACCUCUGGCUUGUUGCUGGCAGUCUCCUGGCCGGUCUCUCUUAAUGCCUCCUCCUAUUUGGCUUCUUCCAGCAUAAAUUGCUGACCGUCCAUCCCUGUAUUGCUCUGGAGCGCCAGCAGCAGAAACAUUCGCUUUGACUUUUGACCACCUCGGCUGUCUUGAAGGUUCCUCUUUCCAACGCUGGUCCACAGCCUAGACAUUGUGGACGAUUUUGAGACGAUGCAGCGCAUCAAGCCAUCAAUGCAAUUAGAAAAACUGAGCAUCACCGUCCACUCCUCCCGUCGUCCAAAGUUCGGCCGGCGACUGUCGUCCCUACAGCAAUUUCGUUCUCUUUAUGCCUCCUCUCUCUUGGCUUCGUCCCUGUCUUGCUCGGGAGUGCCAGCAGUAGCCUGGUAGUACUAUUAACUAAUGCGAUGUAAGAAUCUGUAAAGCACUUCAAAUCACCCAUGAUAAGAAAACUUAGCAAAACAUUUCAAAAAAUUCUGAAUUUUUUGGAUGUGAUUAUGACCAAAUAAUUUAGGUGCUUGCAAAAGUUGAUGGUGAAAUGACAUCCGGGGAACUCUGUACAAAAAAACAAAUUUGUGCUGAAAGCAUGUGAAUAGUAACAUGGUGCAGAGCAUCAUUUGUAUUCCGUUUUGUAUGAAGAUCAUUUGAUGUUUUUUGGUGACCAUACUUUGCAAGCUCCUAAAAUAUUUGCUCAUAAUCAUGUCGAGGAAAUUUCAGAAUUUUUAAUUUCUUAAUAUUUUUUUAAUUUACUGUUUACUCCAUGGGUGCACCAAAGUGGGUGGAGCCACUACUUUCCCAAGAGUUUAUGGACCUGCUUCUGUACGAGUCGUACUGGGUUUGGAUGCAACAAACAAAUGUAGCUACACAAAUGUAUGGCUUGUUAACCAUUAUAAUCAAUUCUAAAAUAUUUUAGCAUGCAAUUAGUAGGCAUUAAUUUUCAGCGAUCAGGUGGUGUCGGCGAUCCUUUGUCCUUCCCUUACUGAAGGCGCCACCUUGGAGUACUUGGUUCGUCGUGUGUGGCUUCAUCUCUUCGAGGUGACUUGUUCAUGGUUGAGGGUUGUGGUGACUUCAAGCGGCGCUCUCUAUCCUACCAGCCGUUUGCUUGGAGUUGUGUUGUUGUUCUUUAACAUCUUUGUAUCAUGCCUUGUGUGCACGUGUUACGGUGUCAUGUCGUAUUGUAUCUGCUGGAUUGUACUCUGUCAUGUCGUAUUGUAUCUGCAAGGUCAUCAUCGUAAUAUCUUUUACAAGAGUAUCGACAAUCUCUACGGGUGGAUCUUCCAUCCACCCUGCACGCAGCUUACUUCUCGCUAGUUUGGCUAAAUCAUGGGCAGCACAAUUAGUCUCUUUAGGAGCAUGCUCAAAAAUAAUAUGCGGGAAAUCACAUGCAGGGUGAUAUAUAUAAUCAAAAACGGCCGCUGAUAGACCGUAAUAGUGAUACGUCUCCAACGUAUCUAUAAUCUUUGAUGUAUUCAUGUCAUGUUUAUAAUAUUUUUACAUGCUUUUGGUAUGAUUUGGUUAGAACUAACCCGGACCGACGUUCUUUUCAGUAGAACCACCAUGGUGUUGUUUUUGUGCAGAAAUAAAAGUUCUCGGAAUGUGCUGAAAAUCAACGGAGAUUUUUUUUUGGAAAAUAUAAAAAAUACUGAAACAAAAAGUUAUCGAAGAGGAGUCCCGUGGGGCCCACGAGGGCGGAGGGCGCGCCCACCCCCUAGGGCACGCCCCUGUGCCUCAUGGACUCCCCGUGGGUCCCCCUAACUUGUUCGCGACGCCAAACCCUCCUAUAAAUACCCGAACUUCCAGAAAGAAACCUAGAUCGGGAGUUCCGCCACCGCAAGCCUCUGUAGCCACGAAAAACCUCUUUGAGCCCGUUUCAGCACCCUGCCGGAGGGGGAAUCCAUCACCGGUGGCCAUCUUCAUCAUCCCAGCGCUCUCCAUGACGCGGAGGGAGUAGUUCUCCCUCGGGGCUGAGGGUAUGUACCAGUAGCUAUGUGUUUGAUCUCUCUCUCUCUCUCUCUCUCUCUCUCUCUCUCUCUCUCUCGUGUUCUUGAUUUGGCACGAUCUUGAUGUACCGCGAGCUUUGCUAUUAUAGUUGGAUCUUAUGAUGUUUCUCCCCCUCUGCUCUUUUGUAAUGGAUUGAGUUUUCCCUUUGAAGUUAUCUUAUUGGACUGAGUCUUUAAGGAUUUGAGAACAGUUGAUGUAUGUCUUGCAUGUGCUUAUUUGUGGUGACAAUGGGAUAUCACGUGAUCUACUAGAUGUAUGUUUUGGUGGUCAACUUGCGGGUUCGGUGACCUUUGAACUUAUGCAUAGGGGUUGGCACAUGUUUUCGUCUUGACUCUCCGAUAGAGACUUUGGGGCACUCUUUGAAGUUCUUUGUGUUGGUUGAAUAGAUGAAUCUGAGAUUGUGUGAUGCAUAUCAUAUAAUCAUACCUGCGGAUACUUGAGGUGACAUUGGAGUAUCUAGGUGACAUUAGGGUUUCGGUUGAUUUGUGUCUUAAGGUGUUAUUUUACUACAAAUUCUAGGGCUGUUUGUGACACUUGUAGGAAUAACCCAAUGGAUUGAUCGAAAAGAAUAACUUUGAGGUGGUUUCGUACCCUACAAUAAUCUCUUCAUUUGUUCUCUGCUAUUAGUGACUUUGGAGUGACUCUUUGUUGCAUGUUGAGGGAUAGUUAUAUGAUCCAAUUAUCUUAUUAUUGUUGAGAGAACUUGCACUAGUGAAAGGAUGAACCCUAUGCCUUGUUUCCUACCAUUGCAAUACCGUUUACGCUCACGUUUACCACUUGCUACCUUGCUGUUUUUUAUAUUUUCAGAUUACAAAAACCUAUAUCUACCAUCCAUAUUGCACUUGUAUCACCAUCUCUUCGCCGAACUAGUGCACCUAUACAAUUUACCAUUGUAUUGGGUGUGUUGGGGACACAAGAGACUCUUUGCUAUUUGGUUGCAAGGUUGUUUGAGAGAGACCAUCUUCAUCGUACGCCUCCCACGGACUCAUAAACCUUAGGUCAUCCACUUGAGGGAAAUUUGCUACUGUCCUACAAACCUCUGCACUUGGAGGCCCAACAACGUCUACAAGAAGAAGAUUGUGUAGUAGACAUCAAAUAGCGACAUCAAUUAUUCAUUGUCUCUAUCACCUCUAUGCAAUUACACCAAUCGAUUUACCCGUUUCAUGCCGCGACGAAUCUACCAUUCGAGUCUCUGAUGACGGUGCCAUAUGAGCCAUAAGUCUGGGUCAAAAGCCCAAUCUAUGUUUAGCUUCACAUAGUUGCUCUUUGGUAUUUCCCAGCCAUGAUGCUUGAUCUUCGCCUUUGCAUCACUCGUCGUAGUACAGUUAGCAACCAAAGCUAUGAUUGCCAUUGCUAUGAACAUAGGUUCUUGGACCAUUUCAAUACGCACUAACUCCCCCCCCACCGACCAUAAAUAUCAGGAACCAAUAGCAAUUGAUUCUAUUGAAUUUUCUAGACCGAGGACCACACAUUCUUUAGCUAGUUGCAACAAUAAAUAUUCGAGCACAACUUCUCCCACAUGAUCCACAGUGCAUGCUUUAUCAAUAGAAAAGUCCACCGCAAGCCUCUGUAGCCACGAAAAACCUCUUUGAGCCCGUUUUGGCACCCUGCCGGAGGGGGAAUCCAUCACCGGUGGCCAUCUUCAUCAUCCCAGAGCUCUCCAUGACGCGGAGGGAGUAGUUCUCCCUCGGGGCUGAGGGUAUGUACCAGUAGCUAUGUGUUUGAGCUCUCUCUCUCUCUCUCUCUCUCUCUCUCUCUCGUGUUCUUGAUUUCGCACGAUCUUGAUGUACCGCGAGCUUUGCUAUUAUAGUUGGAUCUUAUGAUGUUUCUCCCCCUCUACUCUCUUGUAAUGGAUUGAGUUUUCCCUUUGAAGUUAUCUUAUUGGACUGAGUCUUUAAGGAUUUGAGAACAGUUGAUGUAUGUCUUGCAUGUGCUUAUUUGUGGUGACAAUGGGAUAUCACGUGAUCUACUAGAUGUAUGUUUUGGUGGUCAACUUGCGGGUUCAGUGACCUUUGAACUUAUGCAUAGGGGUUGGCACAUGUUUUCGUCUUGACUCUCCGAUAGAGACUUUGGGGCACUCUUUGAAGUUCUUUGUGUUGGUUGAAUAGAUGAAUCUGAGAUUGUGUGAUGCAUAUCAUAUAAUCAUACCUGCGGAUACUUGAGGUGACAUUGGAGUAUCUAGGUGACAUUAGGGUUUCGGUUGAUUUGUGUCUUAAGGUGUUAUUUUACUACAAAUUCUAGGGCUGUUUGUGACACUUAUAGGAAUAACCCAAUGGAUUGAUCGAAAAGAAUAACUUUGAGGUGGUUUCGUACCCUACAAUAAUCUCUUCAUUUGUUCUCUGCUAUUAGUGACUUUGGAGUGACUCUUUGUUGCAUGUUGAGGGAUAGUUAUAUGAUCCAAUUAUCUUAUUAUUGUUGAGAGAACUUGCACUAGUGAAAGGAUGAACCCUAUGCCUUGUUUCCUACCAUUGCAAUACCGUUUACGCUCACGUUUACCACUUGCUACCUUGCUGUUUUUUAUAUUUUCAGAUUACAAAAACCUAUAUCUACCAUCCAUAUUGCACUUGUAUCACCAUCUCUUCGCCGAACUAGUGCACCUAUACAAUUUACCAUUGUAUUGGGUGUGUUAGGGACAUAAGAGACUCUUUGCAAUUUGGUUGCAAGGUUGUUUGAGAGAGACCAUCUUCAUCGUACGCCUCCCACGGACUGAUAAACCUUAGGUCAUCCACUUGAGGGAAAUUUGCUACUGUCCUACAAACCUCUGCACUUGGAGGCCCAACAAUGUCUAGAAGAAGAAGAUUGUGUAGUAGACAUCAAAUAGCGACAUCAAUUAUUCAUUGUCUCAAUCACCUCUAUGCAAUUACACCCAACUAUAGUUGCCAAAUUGAGACGAAACCAUAAGGCUAGUGCAUCGGCCCUAAGUGCAUCUCCACACCAAUCGAUUUACCCGUUUCAUGCCGCGAUGAAUCUACCAUUCGAGUCUCUGAUGACGGUGCCAUAUGAGCCAUAAGUCUGGGUCAAAAGCCCAAUCUAUGUUUAGCUUCACAUAGUUGCUCUUUGGUCUUUCCCAGCCAUGAUGCUUGAUCGUCGCCUUUGCAUCACUCGCCAUAGUAUAGUUAGCAACCAAAGCUAUGAUUGCCAUUGCUAUGAACAUAGGUUCUUGGACCAUUUCAAUACGCACUAACUCCCCCCCCCCCACCCACCAUAAAUAUCAGGAACCAAUNNNNNNNNNNNNNNNNNNNNNNNNNNNNNNNNNNNNNNNNNNNNNNNNNNNNNNNNNNNNNNNNNNNNNNNNNNNNNNNNNNNNNNNNNNNNNNNNNNNNNNNNNNNNNNNNNNNNNNNNNNNNNNNNNNNNNNNNNNNNNNNNNNNNNNNNNNNNNNNNNNNNNNNNNNCCAAUAGCAAUUGAUUCUAUUGAAUUUUCUAGACCGAGGACCACACAUUCUUUAGCUAGUUGCAACAAUAAAUAUUCGAGCACAACUUCUCCCACAUGAUCCAAAGUGCAUGCUUUAUCAAUAGAAAAGUCCAAACCUAGUAAUCAUCAUACCUCUUUAGCUCUUGCACAAGUGAAUAACAAGUGCUUGGUAUCAUUGAUGACCCACAAGUAUAGGGGAUCUAUCGUAGUCCUUUCGAUAAGUAAGAGUGUCGAACCCAACGAGGAGCAGAAGGAAAUGACAAGCGGUUUUCAGCAAGGUAUUCUCUGUAAGCACUGAAAUUAUAGGUAAGAGAUAGUUGUGUGCCAAGAUAAUUUGUUACGGGUAACAAGAAACAAAAUUACACAAGGUGCAGAAAGGUGGGCCAAUCCUUUUUGUAGCAAAGGACAAGCCUGGACAAACUCUUAUAUAAAGCAAAGUGCUCCUGAGGACACAUGGGAAUUAUUGUCAAGCUAGUUUUCAUCAUGCUCAUAUGAUUCACGUUCGUUACUUUGAUAAUUUGAUAUGUGAGUGAACCGGUGCUUGGGUGAUGCCCUUCCUUGGACAAGCCUCCCACUUAUAAUUAACCCCUCUCGCAAGCAUCCACAACUAUGGAAGAAGAAUUAAGGUAAACCUAACCAUAGCAUGAAACAUAUGGAUCCAAAUCAGCCCCUUAGGAAGCAACACAUAAACUAGGGUUUAAUCUUAUGUCGCUCUAGCAACCCAUCAUCUACUUCUUACUUCCCAAUACCUCCCCUAGUCCAAAAUCAUGGUGAAGUGUCGUGUAGUCGACAUUCACAUAACAACACUAGAGGAGAGACAACAUACAUCUUCAUCAAAAUAUCGAACGAAUACCAAAUUCACAUGACUACUUAUAACAAGACUUCUCCCAUGUCCUCAGGAAAAAACGUAACUACUCACAAAGCAUAUUCAUGUUCAUAAUCAUAGGGGUAUUAAUAUGCAUUAAGGAUCUGAACAUAUGAUCUUCCACCAAAUAAACCAAUUAGCAUCAACUACAAGGAGUAAUCAACACUACUAGAAACCCAUAGGUACCAAUCUGAGGUUUGGGUACAAAGAUUGGAUACAAGAGAUGAACUAGGGUUUCAGAGGAGAUGGUGUUGAUGAAGAUGUUGAUGGAGAUUGACCCCCUCCCGAUGAGAGGAUCGUUGGUGAUGACGAUGGUGAUGAUUUCCCCCUCCCGGAGCAAAGUUUCCCCAGCAGAACAGCUCCGCCGGAGCCCUAGAUUGGUUCCGCCAAGGUUCAUAAUUAGAGGAGUAUUAAUUAUCAUUAAGGAUCUGAACAUAUGAUCUUCCACCGGAUAAACCAACUAGCAUCAACUACAAGGAGUAAUCAACACUACUAGCAACCCACAUGUACCAAUCUAAGGUUUUGAGAGACAGAGGUGUCGAUAAAAUAAAAUACGGGCAUGAGGGCAUCAUGAUCAUCUUUAUAACAACAACAUAUAUUGUCAUAUGAUUUCUUAUGCUAAUUAACAAUUCAUUCACAAGGUAAAGUAUGAAUCGGAAACUUCAUUGAAAACUAACAAACUAUGAUCUCAGUCAUUGAAGCAAUUGCAAUCUAUCAUAACAUUGUAAAGAGUCAAUAUAAGAGCUUUUCAACAAGUCCACACACUCAACUAUCAUUUAGUCUUUCACAAUUGCUAACAUCACGUGAUACUUAUGGGUACAAAGUUUCAAUCGGACACAGAAAAAGAUAGGGGCUUAUAGUUUCGCCUCCCAACCUUUUAGCUCAACGGUAAUGUCAAUAAUAAUACUAUAUGAAAACCUACAUCCGAGUGUAUAUAUAUAUAUAUAUUUAUAUUUAUAUAUAUAUAUAUAUAUAUAUAUAUAUAUAUAUAUAUAUACCGGAUCUCUCCAACACAUAGUGCUUGCCAAAGGAUAAAGUGUAAGAAGGAAAAGUGAAGAUCACCAAGACUCGUGUAUGAGGGUAGAAGGUAAAAAUAAAAGAUACGCCCUUCGUAGAGGGAAUCAGAGGUUGUCAUGCGCUUUUAUGGUUGGAUGCAGAAAAUCUUAAUUCAAAAGAAUGUCACUUUAUAUUGCCGCUUGUGAUAAGGAUCUUUAUUAUGCAGUCCGUCAAUUUUAUUUCUUCCACAUCACAAGUUCGUAUAAAGCGUAUUUUCUUCACACUAACAGAUCAUAAAAAUUUAUAGAGCAAUUUUUAUUGCUUGCACCGAUGACAACUUACUUGAAGGAUCUUACUCAAUCCAUAGGUAGGUAUGACGGACUCUCAUGGCAAAACUGGGUUUAGGGACUCCCACUAUGUUGUCUUCCUUGUCCAACAUUAACCUUUUAGCAUGUCAUAUUUUAAUGAGUGCCCACAAUCACAAAAGAUAUCCAAGAUAGGGUAUUUAUAUGUAAAACCUCUCUUUCUUUAUUACUUCCAAUUAAUUGCAGCAAUGACCAAAACUAUGUUUGUCAACUCUCAACAACUUUUAUUCAUCAUACUCUUUAUAUGUGGAGUCAUUACUCUCCAUAAGAUCAACAUAUGAUCUUUUUAUUUCUUUUUAUUCUUUUCUUAAUUCCCUCAAGAUCAUAGCAAGAUAGAAAAGCCCUCAACUCAAAACUACUCUGUAUUAUAUAUAACUCACGGACUCGAUUACAUAGAUAGAGAUCAAAACAAAACUCAAAGAUAGAUCAUACUAAAACUUUAUUCUACUAGAUCAAGAUAUAACCAAAAGGAUCGAACAAAGAAAAUCGGUAAAGAUAGAGGUGCGAUGGUGAUACGAUACCGGGGAACCUCCCCCAAGCUUGGCAGUUGCCAAGGGGAGUGCCCAUACCCAUGUAUUUAUGUCUCUUUCUUCAAAGGUGGCGAUGAUGGAGUUAUUGAUGAUGCUGUUAGCUUCAUUAAUGCACCCUUCAGAACUUGCAGUUACUGGAGCAAACGUUGGAGCAUAUUUGCAUUCUUUUGGAUUUCCUCCAUAUGGUGCUUAUUUUCAGGCCCCCAAGAGCUCUUACUUGCAUUGCUUUCACUUGGACGGGAUAUGUCCCAAUUAUAGGGUAUAUGUGUACGGGGAGUGUCCUCGACUUCAUAAUUAUGAACCAAAUUAUGAAAGUUGUUCCGAUGUAACCUGUGUAAGGGCCUCCUAUGGGGAAGCCCUUCUCGAACCUCUUGGUCUUCAUGGUUGCUUCUAGUCCCCAUUGCUUGAUGGGGAUUGGGAAUAGUGGAGAUGCCAACCAGAGUGCCUUUCUGCAUAGCCGGAGGGUGGUCCUCAAGCGAAUCUCCUUCAUCCUCCUCCAUCAUGCACUACUAGGGAAAAGUCUAGCAGUACCGCUGGUUUUUGGCCUAUCAGUAGUGCGGGUAAGCGCGCUACUGAUACGGCGCUACAGCUAAAGCAUAGCAGUAGAGCCUACUGGCACUCGCUACUGCUAUAUCUACUUAGUAGUAGCGCUUUCCAAAUCAAUCGCUACUGCUAAUUACUAGUAGCCCUUUAAAAAACAAUCGCUACUACUAUUAUUUCGUAUUCUAUUUCUUUUGAAUUUUAGGUCAUAUUCACCUUCAUACAAUUUUUCAUACAGUAGCAAUUUAGAGAUUGUUUUUACAUUAUAAUGAGUUAUUAAAUCACUAGCUGAAAUAACCUUGGUUUAGUUUCAAGUGCAUGGAUCCAAAGUAACCAAUGGUCACUUUGGAUCCAUCCAUUUGAAACUAAUCCGCGGUUCUUUCACCCAAUGACAUAAUAACUUAUCAUCAUCAUCAUCAUCAUCAUAAUAUCAUUAACAACUUAUCAUCAUAAUAUAUCAUUGUCAUAUAACUCCUCAUAAUCAUCAUUUUCGUCCAUGAGACAUCAUAUAACAACUUCAUCACUAGUUAUAAUAACAACUCCUCCUCCUCAUCAUCAUAAUACUCAUAAUCACUACUCCUACUCAGCAACACCAUCAAGUCUAAGACAUUGUAGUCAUAUAUAAUCAACACUAACUUAUUGUUCUUAAUACUUAGGACCUACUCCUCUCUCCUAGCUAAAAUACCAUAAAACAGAUAAACUGGUCCUUCAUAAUAAUGGAGAAUGGACAUAAACCUAUCUCCAACUUGUGGCUUGCGCACAUUCAUUUUGUCUCCAAUUAUUUGCGUGUGCGCAUUCAUCACUUUGCUCCAUUCUUUGAUUUCGAGUCUUCCAUCAUUUGAAGAAAUCGAGUAUGCAGUAUGGUAAGCCUUUGAAGGAGUUGGUCGUAAGCUAACCAUAUGCAUAUCACCUUCGGUAAAUAGCAUGUCAGGCAGAACCUGCUUCGGGAGCCUCUGUUCAAAAACGUAAUAUAAACAUAUAUAGUUAGCAAUGUAGUUUACUUAAGAAUAAUGUAUGUAAUGAAGUUACCAUCAUUAACAAAAUCUUACCAAGUUUUUGGCAAUGAAGUUACCAUCAAGCAAUUUAUGGACUAGUGGCACAUAUCUAGUAUAAUUUGGGUUGAUAGAGUGACUGGUUUUGAAGGCCUCAACAUCUUCUAUGAAUGAGACAAGAUAACCUUUCUCGUCACAAUUAAGCUUAGAGUCAUAGCUGUAAUAUGUGUUGUCUACUACCUUCCGAGUAUUUUUUGAAAAUAAGAAAUAAAUUGACAAUUAUAAAUAAAUAAGUUUAGUAAGGACGAACACCAAAUAUUUUUAAAUUAUCAACAUAAAUUACUGAACUUAACAAAUUAGUUUGACAAACUCACAUCUAGGCAAAACUGGAGGCAUAUCCACGUCCACCCAGAUGUCGAUAUUAUCAUCAUCAUCAUCAUCUUCGGGACAAAUAUCAAAUCUUAUUCGCAUUCCCUCCUCAAGUCCAUAUGCCUUGUAGAGAGCUUCCCAAUUAGAGCAACCGAAAUGGGAGCAAUAGACCGCAUUGUACAACUUAACCAGAAACUCAUAACCAUGUUUAGUUCUUAAGUGAGCCCUCCUCAUCUCCACAUUCUCAAAGUCAUCUAAACCAAAACCAAGCUUCUCCAAUACAUAUGGUCUAGCAUGGCUCUGGAUGUACUAAUCGAAUUAAAAAAAAUAUCCAAAAUUACACGUUGAACAAAACAAGCACAAGUGAUGAUAUUAAUUACGAUGAAAUGCUUGCCGUUGUGUACCGUACAAACAUCAAGGGUCUCUUCCAGCUUCACGGUGAAAAACCUAUCAUUUUGCAGGUGAGGAAACCUGUCACACACACCAUGGUCAUCGUAGCAGUACCCACACUCUGGGAUCCCAUCGUCAUUAGACAUCUCCUGUGUUCAAAAUUCAAAGAUUAUAACUCGACGGCCAAACCCAAAAAAUCCGGCAUGACCUUUGCUAAAAAAGGACAUAUCGAGCGCCUAAAAUUGGCUGGAACGGAAAUUAAUCAACACUCCGGCAAAACAUAGGCCGCUUACUAAUGGUCAUUGCAUUUCAAUGGUUGACAAUAUGAACAAAAACAUUUGAAAAUAUCUUAUAUAUAAUCCUAACACUAAAUAAACUAGUUUUAUUAACUACUUACUAAAUAAACUAGUUCUAUUAAGCACUUACUAUAAAUAAACUAGUUCUAUUAAGCACUUACUAAAUAAACUAGUUCUAUUAAGCACUUAAUAUAAAUAAACUAGUUAUAUUAAUCACUUACUAAAUAAACUAUUUCUAUUAAACACUUGCUAAAAAUUCUACUACCCUAGUUCUACCCUAAAUUUUCUUACUUCUAUUUUAUUCAAAACACCUAAAAUAGUCAAAAAAUAUUCUUUUAAAAAACCUACAGAGACAAGGGAGNNNNNNNNNNNNNNNNNNNNNNNNNNNNNNNNNNNNNNNNNNNNNNNNNNNNNNNNNNNNNNNNNNNNNNNNNNNNNNNNNNNNNNNNNNNNNNNNNNNNNNNNNNNNNNNNNNNNNNNNNNNNNNNNNNNNNNNNNNNNNNNNNNNNNNNNNNNNNNNNNNNNNNNNNNNNNNNNNNNNNNNNNNNNNNNNNNNNNNNNNNNNNNNNNNNNNNNNNNNNNNNNNNNNNNNNNNNNNNNNNNNNNNNNNNNNNNNNNNNNNNNNNNNNNNNNNNNNNNNNNNNNNNNNNNNNNNNNNNNNNNNNNNNNNNNNNNNNNNNNNNNNNNNNNNNNNNNNNNNNNNNNNNNNNNNNNNNNNNNNNNNNNNNNNNNNNNNNNNNNNNNNNNNNNNNNNNNNNNNNNNNNNNNNNNNNNNNNNNNNNNNNNNNNNNNNNNNNNNNNNNNNNNNNNNNNNNNNNNGGAGGAGGGAGGGGCGAUGGAAGGAGGGCUUCCUGCGGAGGAGGGAGGAGGGGGCGGCCGGAGGCAGAGGGAGGAGGGCACGGUGGGAGGAGGAGGAGGGAGGAGGGAGGAGGGCGCGGUGGGAGGAGGAGGGACAGAAGGAGGGAGUACCUCGGUGGCGGACGGACGACAGCAGCGGCGGCGACGGACUACGGGUAUCGGUGCGGGCGAGAGUGACUGAGAGGGAGAGUGAGUGAGUGAGAGAGGGUCGGUAGCGUGAGGGGAUAAGGUAGGGUUAGUAGUAGCACUCAUCAAAUAAAAGCGCUACAGCUAAGGAGAAUAGCAGUAGCGCUGGUCGUGGAUACGCGCUAUUGCUAAGUUGGGCUAGCCGUGUGCGCCCAAUUCAGACAUAGCAGCAGCACUUUUUGCCAGUAUGCGCUAAUACUAGAGUUAUAGCAGUAGCGCGGUUUGUUCAUACGCGCUGCUACUAAGUAGCAGUAGCGCAUGAUUUUGUCCAGCGCUACUGCUAAGAUGUUGUGUUUAACGUUUUCCCUAGUAGUGGUGACUCCCUCGGCAUCCCUCCUUCUAAGUUCCAUCUGCAUCAACUAAGCAUCGCUGUCCGUGUUGUUGGAGGAGGAGGACGAUAUGAUGUAUAGCCUUGAAAAUUCUGGCAGAAAACAACUCAAAACAAGAACAUGAGAUUUUGCCGUGGUACGGUGGUCAAAAUCUUCGGGAGAUUAUAUAAUGAAUUUUUACCGACCAAAAUAAGUAUUGUGCAAUAAAACGGAGUCCGGAGGGCACACGAAGUGGCCACAAGGUAGGAGGGGGUGCGCCCAGGGGGGUAGGGGCGCCCUCCACCCUUGUGGUGGCCUCGUAUCUCUUUCGGACUACUUUUAAUUUUCCUAAAUUUUUAAAUAUUCGAAAACGGUGAAAAAUUGCUAUUAGAAAAGUUUUGGAGUCGGUUUACUUACUGUACCACAUACCUAUUCCUUUUCGGAGUCCGACACGUUCUGGAAAGUGUCCCUUAUGUACUCCUCCGGUGUUACAGUGUCAAUUAUAUUGGUCUCAACAUUUAUGGGAUUACCUGAGAUAUAACGUUUGAUUCUUUGACCAUUUACCACCUUCGGAUUUGUGCCUUCGGAAUUGUUGAUUUUGAUGGCACCAGAACUAUAGACCUCCUCGAUAAUGUAAAGACCUUCCCAUUUAGAGAGAACUUUUCCUGCAAAAAAUCUUAAACGAGAGUUGUAUAGAAAAACAUGACCACCUACAUUAAACUCACGCAUUUGUAUCCUUUUUUCAUGCCAUCUUUUAAAUUUUUCGUUAAAGAACAUGGCAUUCUCAUAGGCUUGGGUUCUCCAUUCAUCAAGCGAGCUAAUGUCAAAUAACGUCUUCUCACCGGCAAGUUUGAAAUCAUGGUUGAGCUCUUUAAUAGCCCAAUAUGUCUUAUGUGUUCAAGAGGUAAGUGACAAGUGUUUCUAUAAACCAUUUUAUUCGGAGACAAACCCAUAGGAUUUUUAUAAGCAGUUCUAGCCCAUAAUGCAUCAAGUUUCUUGGACCAAUUCUUUCUAGAUCUAUUAACAUUCUUUUGCAAAAUCAAUUUAAUCUCUCUGUUACUCAAUUCUACUUGACCACUAGACUGAGAAUGAUAUGGAGAUGCAAUUCUAUGGUUAACAUUGUACUUAGCAAGCGUUUUACAAAAAAGCACCAUGAAUAAAAUGUGAACCACCAUCUGUCAUUAAAUAUCUAGGGACUCCAAACCUCAGAAAAGAGUAACUUCUUUAAGCAUCUUAAUAGAAGUGUUAUGAUCAGCACUACUAGUUGGACUAGCUUCUACUCACCUAGUAACAUAAUCAAUAGCAAAUAAAAUAUGUGUAUACCCAUUGGAGGAAGGAAAAGGUCCCAUAUAAUCAAAGCCCCAAACAUCAAAUGGUUCAAUAAUGAGUGCAUAAUUCAUAGGAAUUUCUUGACGUCUACUAAUAUUGCCAAUUCUCUGGCAUUCAUCACAAGACAAGACAAACUUACGAGCGUCCUUGAAGUGAGUAGGCCAAUAAAAACCGGAUUGCAAUACCAUAUGUGCAGUUCUAUCUCCAGCGUGGUGUCCGCCGUAAGCAUCGGAGUGACACUUGUGUAUGAUCUGUUCCUGUUCAUACUCAGGUACACAAAGUCUAAUAACACCAUCUACUCCUUCUUUAUAAAGGUGUGGGUCAUCCCAAAAGUAAUGUCUUAAAUCAUAGAAAAACUUUUUCUUUUGUUGGUAUGAGAAACUAGGUGGUAUAAAUUUAGCAACAAUGUAAUUAGCAUAUAUAAUCGGCAUACGAUGGAGCAGCACGAGAAGCAUUUAUGACAGCUAAUUGUUCAUCAGGAAAGUUAUCAUCAAUAGGCAGUGGGCCAUCAAGAAUAUUUUCUAACCUAGACAAGUGUCUGCAACGAGGUUCUCAGCUCCCUUUCUAUCAAUAAUAUGCAAAUCAAAUUCUUUUAACAAGAGAACCCACCUAAUAAGUCUAGGUUUAGCAUCUUUCUUUUCCAUAAGAUAGUUAAUAGGAGCAUGAUCAGUGUGAACAAUUACUUUGGAAUCAACAAUAUAAGAUCUGAACUUAUCACAAGCAAUUACAAGUGCUAAAAAUUGUUUUUCAGUAGUAGCAUAGUUUCUCUGGGCACUAUCUAGAGUUUUACUAACAUAAUGGAUAACAUUUAAUUUCUUAUCAACUCUUUGUCCUAGAACAACACCAACAGCAUAAUCACUAGCGUCACACAUAAUUUCAAAGGGUAAAUUCCAAUCAGGUGACUGAACAAUAGGUGUAGAAAUCAAGGCCUUCUUAAGUAUCAAAUGCUUUUACACAAUCAUCAUCAAAAACAAAAGGAACAUCUUUUUGCAAGAGAUUAAUGAGAGGCCUAGAAAUUUUACAGAAGUCUUUAAUAAACCUCCUAUAGAAACCAACAUGACCAAGGAAAUUUCCUAUACCUUUGAUAUCUUUAGGACACAACAUAUUUCCAAUAGCAUCUACUUUAGCUUUAUCAACUUCAAUACCUCUUUCAGAAAUUUUAUGCCCCAAGACAAUACCUUCAUUAACCAUAAAGUGGAACUUCUCCCAAUUCAAGACAAGAUUAGUUUCUUCACAUCCCUGCAAAACUCGAUCAAGGUUGCUUAAGAAAUCAUCAAAAGAAGUUCCGUAAACAGAGAACUCAUCCAUGAAAACCUCAGUAGUAUUUUCACAAAAGUCAGAGCAUAUAAGAGUCAUACAUCUUUCAAAGACAACAGGUGCAUUGCAUAAACCAAAAGGCAUACAUCUAUAAGCAAAAGUGCCAAAAAGGCAAGUAAAAGUGGUCUUUUCCUGAUCAUUUUUGACACAGAUAAUUGAGAAAAACCAGAAUAACCAUCUAGGAAGCAAAAAUGUGUAUGUUUGGAUAGUCUUUCUAGCGUUUGAUCAAUAAAAGGUAGAGGGUAAUGAUCUUUUCUAGUAGCUUUAUUCAAUUUGCGGAAAUCAAUUACCCUUCUAUAACCUGUAAUAAUUCUUUGUGGGAUCCAUUCAUUCUUAUCAUUAGGAACAACAGUAAUACCUCCCUUCUUAGGGACAUAAUGAACGGGACUUACCCACUGACUAUCAGCAAUAGGAUAAAUAUACCUGCCUCUAGAAGAUUUAGUAUUUCAUUUCUUACCACUUCUUUCAUUUUAGGAAUUAAUCGUCAUUGGUGAUCAACCACUGGUUUAGCAUCUUUUUCCAAUUUUAUUUUGUGCUGACAUAGAGUGGGACUAAUGCCCUUAAGAUCAUCAAGAGUAUAUCCAAUAGCGGCAUGGUGCUUCUUCAGAGUUUUCAAUAAUUUCUUUUCUUCAUGCUCUAAAAGGUUAGCACUAAUAAUAACAGGAUAUAUCUUAUUUCCAUUGAGAUAAGAAUAUUUAAGAGUAUCAGGUAAUUGUUUAAGCUCAAACACAGGAUCACCCUUGGGUGGAGGAGGAUCUCCGAGAAUUUCAACAAGCAAACUGUGUUACAAAAUAGGCCCUUGAUUAAAGAAUACUUCAUUUAUUUUCCUUCUUUCAUUCAUAAACAUAUUAUUUUCAUGGUCUAGCAAAUAUUGUUCUAAAGGAUCAUUAGGAGGCACGAAAAUAGAAGCAAGACCAGUAAGUUCAUCCUUACUAGGAAAUUCUUUAUCAUGAGGUUGUCUACGAAAUUUAGAAAAAUUAAAAUGAUGAGACAUAUCCCCUAAAUCAAUAGUAACAAUAUCCUUUUCAUAGUCUAUCUUAGCAUUAACAGUAUUCAAGAAUGGGUCUACCAAAUAUAAUGGGACAAAACUCAUCUUGCAGGGAAGCAAGAACAAGAAAAUCAGUAGGGUAUUUUAUUUUCGCACACAAUACUUCAAAAUCUCUAACAAUACCAACUGGUAAAUAGUGUCUCUAUUGGCAAGCUUAAUAGUAACAUCAAUAUCUUCUAUCUCAGCAGGUGCAAAUAUCAUUCAUAAUUUCUUCAUAUAAGGUAUAAGGUAUUGCACUCACACUAGCACCCACAUCACACAAGCCAUGAUAACAAUGAUCUCCUACUUUAACAGAAACUAUAGGCAUGCCAACAACAGGUCUAUGUUUAUCUUGAGUGUCAUGUUCAGCAAUCCUAGCAGCUUCAUCACCGAAAUAAAUAACAUGCCCAUCAAUAUUAUCGACCAAGAGAUCCUUAAUCAUAGCAAUAUUGUGUUCAACUUUAAUUUGUUCAGGGGUUGUAAUUGUUCUAGUAUAACUCUUACGAACCACAGUUUAAGAUUUAGCAUGAUCCUUUAUUCUAACAAGGAAAUGUGGUUUCUCAAUAUAAGCAGUAGGAACAAUUGGAUCAAAAUUAUAAGUAAUAGUUUCUUCUUCAACCUUAAUAGGUUCUACUACUUUAACUUCAAUGGGAGGAUGAUAUUUAAACCACUUCUCACUAGGUAGAUUAACAUGAGUAGCAAAUGAUUCACAAAAAGAAGCUACUAUCUUAGAUUUGAAUUAUGUAGUCUUCAUCAUAAAAGAUCCAGUACAAGAAGUAUCGAGAAUGGAUCGAUCAUUAUGAGAAAGCCGAACAUAAAAAAUUUGGAUAAUAAUUUCUCUUGAGAGCUCAUGAUUGGGGCAUGAAUAUAACAUUGAGUUAAGCCUCCCCCAAGCUUCAGCAAUACUUUCUCCUUCACGGGGCCGAAAAUUAUAUAUAUAAUUCCGAUCACGAUGAACCAGAUGCAUAGGAUAAAACUUCUGAUGAAAUUCCAAUUUCAAUCGGUUGUAGUUCCAUGAUCCAAUAUAAUCACAUAGCCUAUACUAUGUCAAUGCCUUUCCCUUCAAAGAUAAAGGGAAGACCUUCUUCUUGACAACAUCUUCGGGAAUACCUGCAAGCUUAAAUAAUCCACAAACUUCAUCCACAUAGAUUAGGUGCAUAUCAGGAUGUAAUGUUCCAUCUCCUCUGUAAGGAUUAGCUUGCAGUUUCUCUAUCAUACCCAAAGGAAUUUAAACAUAAAUAUUUUCAGUAGGUGCAGUAGGUUGAGGAGCAACUCUUUUCUCUUCCGGUUGAGGUGAAGAUACCCAGAACAAGCCCCUCAAAGGAUUAUUUUCCAUAGUAACAAGUGACAGUAAAUUUCAGCACAAUAUAUAAAUAUUUCCUUACAAAAUUCCACUUACCAAAGGCGCUUCACUCCCCGGCAACGGUGUCGUAAAAGAGUCUUGAUGACCCACAAGUAUAGGGGAUCUAUCGUAGUCCUUUCGCUAAGUAAGAGUGUCCAACCCAACAAGGAGCAGAAGGAAAUGACAAGCGGUUUUUAGCAAGAUAUUCUCUGCAAGCACUGAAAUUAUCGGUAAUAGAUAGUUGUGUGAUAAGAUAAUUCGUAAUGGGUAACAAGCAACAAAAGUAAACAAGGUGCAUCAAGGUGGGCCAAUCCUUUUUUUAGCAAAGGACAAGCCUGGACAAACUCUUAUAUAAAGCAAAGAGCUCCCGAGGACACAUGAGAAUUAUCGUCAAGCUAGUUUUCAUCAUGCUCAUAUGAUUCACAUUAGUUACUUUGAUAAUUUCAUAUGUGGGUGGACCGGUGAUUGGGUGAUGCCCUUCCUUGGACAAGCCUCCCACUUAUUAUUAACCCCUCUCGCAAGCAUCCGCAACUACAAAAGAAGAAUUAAGGUAAAACUAACCAUAGCAUGAAACAUAUGGAUCCAAAUCAGCCCCUUACGAAGCAACGCAUAAACUAGGGUUUAAGCUUCUGUCACUCUAGCAACCCAUCAUGGUGAAGUGUCAUGUAGUCGACAUUCACAUAACACCACUAUAGGAGAGACAACAUACAUCUCAUCAAACUAUCAAACGAAUACCAAAUUCACAUGGUAACUUAUAACAAGACUUUUCCCAUGUCCUCAGGAACAAAUGUAACUACUCACAAAGCAUAUUCAUGUUAAUAAUUAGAGGAGUAUUAAUUAUCAUUAAGGAUAUGUACAUAUGAUCUUCCAUCGGAUAAACCAAAUAGCAUCAACUACAAGGAGUAAUCAGCACUACUAGCAACCCAUAGGUACCAAUCUGAGGUUUUGAGACAAAGAUCAGAUACAAGAGAUGAACGAGGGUUUGAGAGGAGACGGUGCUGGUGAAGAUGUUGAUGGAUAUUGACCCCCUCUCAAUGAUAUGAUCGAUGGUGAUGAUGAUGGCGAUGAUUUCCCCCUCCCACAGGGAUGCUUCCCCGGUAGAACAACUCCGCUGGAGCCCUAGAUUGGUUUUGCCCAGGUUCCGCCUUGAGACGAUGGCGCUUCAUCCCGAAAGCUUCUCUCCUAUUUUUUUCAGGGCAAAAGACACCAUAUAUCAGAAGAUGGGCGUCGGGGGCCUGCCAGGGAGCCCACAAGGUAGGGGUGCGCACCCAGGGAGGUAGGGUGCGCCCUCCCCCCUUGUGGUUGGCUGGUGGCCCCCCUCUAGUGCUUUCUUCGCCCAAUAUAUUUUAUUUAUUCCAAAACUGAUCUCCGUGAAUUUUCAGGACUUUACUAGUCCGGAAUUCCAGCUAUCGAAAUUCUCCCUCUUCAUGUGAACCUUAUAAAAUAAGAUAGAAAAGACAUAAGUAUUGUGAUAUAACCUGUAAUAACAACCCCUAAUGCAAUAAAUAUUGAUAUAAAAGCAUGAUGGAAAAUGGACAUAUCAAUCAUCUUCUCCAAUAUCGCAUGUAGGACAUUGCCCACUGACUUUUAUAUGCCUGCUAGCCAAUGUCACCCGACAAGGUAGCGAGUCUAACAAAGUUCGUUAGAGGAAACUUUUAACCUUGGCCGGACAACUUAAGCUCUAGAUGGUCCCCCAUAUUGGUGAAAUCCGUGAAAGUCCGACUGUAUUUUCUCAUGAUAUCACAAAUAUUAGUUAUGAACUUAUGAUGCAGGCUCAAGUAUAAUAAAAAACACUCAUUGUGAACAAUGGAAAAACCAAAAAGGUAAUAUAAAAAAUAUCUUACAAUGAAAUGUACCCAAGGGUUAGAUGACAACUCACUCUUUUGAGACGUUGUGUUUGGAGAUCAAUAAUACACUAUACCAACACAAAUGCAUGUUUGGUGAUUGUUUAAUGCACAUGAAAGGUACAAAGUUUGUAGAACUAUAUAUAUAACCAAUGCGUCCAUUUAUAGUAUUAGCCAACAGAAAAAGUCAUGCAUUUCCAUUUAUAUUCUUUAGUGAUAGGUACAUGACAAUCACAAUCUCAUGUGUAAACAAUAGGGCCAUACAAUGCAUCCUUGGUUGACUACGAUGGUAACGGAUAAUAGAUACUACAAUUACUACGAAAGUUUUGUAUAUCCCAUAACGGAAGAUACGGCACCUCAUAACAACCGAUCCAUGUCAUUUGUGGGCCAGAUAAUGUCACUGGUUGAUAUCGACGCCACUAUGGCAAUUAUUGCCGUCUCAACAUGCAAGUACCUUCUUCCAUGGUAUGAUUUCAUUGUUAGAAUAUGUAACCUCGAUGGGGCAUACAUUUUUGUAGUUGAACACCCCAUGCACUCUCCAAGUCAUGGUUAACAACCAACUAAAGGAGUUAUGUGGCAAACAUACCCGACUAGGGUGGAAGUGUGUAUGGAAAGCGCUCGUUCACAAAACCCAAUACGGCCCCUAUCGACUGGUAUCCGAUAACAGCCUCGCUUUGUCUCCUUCCGCUCUCCUCGCAUCCAAUAACGGCCCCUAUCAACUGGUAUCUAAUACAUUUGGGGACACACUCCACGCAGCUAGCGAACACCCUCACUGUUGGCGCUCUAUACGGAUGUCCCUACACGGGACCAUCUACUUUGGUUCCUUGAAGGGCCAAAGGUCCUCAGACUAUAGUGGUGGCUAAUGAUAAGGGCACUGACAAAGAUGAGCCACCGGCUCACUAUGAGCAUGGGGAGGCGGAUGUUAAUAUGUAUUUUUCACAAUGAAUAUGAUGAUGCAUGAUUUUUGCAGUUAACCAUAAUGUUGCCAAGAGUCUGUUUAAUAUGACACCAGCGGACGACACUCAGAAUGAUCAAUGUCCUUCCAAAGCGCAUGUCAUGACUCUGCUCACAUUGAAUGGGUCAAUUCAAGACACUCUCGCAACCCCCAGUUAUUGUUGUACCUAGAAAUGGGAGGAAGAAGAGACGAAAAAAGUCUGAUUACACAAGGCACGGGCGCUGCUGGUAGGUAGAAACUGGUUCGAAAGACGAUUAUUGAUUUCGGUUUACUGUACCUUUUGUGUAGUUUCUGAUUAAGUUUCAAAGAUGCAUGGUGAAAAUGACCUUCUAGGUUUACUUCAUUAACCUUAGUAGUCAUUCGGCGUAUUGAAACAUGGUAAUUCUAGAAUGACAACAACAUGUGUGCUUCAGCUCAUAAAUGCUACCAUUGUAGCAAAAGAUUAACUAAAAAUGCAACCACGACCGGUUAUAGUAGCCCCAAGGCUGGAAAAUUCUACCUUGACAACUAAAUGAGAAAUUUGACUCAUAAAUGCUGCCAUGGUAGAGAAAUGAGCCCAUUUAACCAUAAUUGACCCCAUGGUAGCAAAUAUGAGGCCAAAGGCUCAAAAGUUCUUCCGUGACAACUAAAAGAGCCAUUUAGUCUAGACUCGUUGCGAUGGCAACUAAUUAAUGAGCCAUUUCGCGAGCUAACUAAGCCAUCUGGCUCAGAUUAGCUGCCAUGGCAGCAAAAAAUGAAUGUAAAACUACUAUCACAACAUAUAUGAGCCCUGAUAACCCGCAAGUAUAUGGGAUAGUUGUAGCCUCUUUCGAUAAGUAAGAGUGUCGAACCCAACGAGGAGCUAAAGGUAGAACAAAUACUCUCUCAAGUCCUAUCGGCCACUGACUCGACUCUACGCACGCUUGACAUUCGCUUUACCUAGAACAAGUAUGAAACUAGAAGUACUUUGUAGGUGUGAUGAGAUAUGUUUGCAAGAUAAUAAAGAACAUGUAAACAAAAAUUAGGGGCUGUUUAGAUAAAGAAGCAAUAAAGUAAAUAUUAGUAGAGAGCUUUUUGUUACGAGAAAGUUAUUUGUCGAAGGCAAUAGAUAACUAGACCGGAAAUCAUUAUUGCAAUUCUAUUUGAGGGAGAGGCAUAAGCUAACAUAUCAUCCCUUACUUGGAAUUCUAUGCACUUAUGAUUGGAACUCUAGCAAGCAUCUACUAAAGAUUCAUUAAGGUAAAAUCCAACCAUAGCAUUAAAGCAUCAAGUCCCCUUUUAUCCCAUACGCAAACAACCUACUUACUCGGGUUUGUGUUUCCGUCACUCACGCAACCCACCAUAAGCAAAUCAUAAACAUAUUGCAAACCCUACAGCGGGAAUCCCUCACGCUUGCGCGACACAGAGGGCACAAUAGGACAGCACCAAUAAUAAAACAUGCAACUCAAACCAAUCACGAUCAUCAAUUAACCCACAGGACAAAACGGAUCUACUCAAACAUCAUAAGAUAGCCAUACAUCAUUGGGGAAUAAUAUAUAGCAUUGAGCACCAUGUUUAAGUAGAUAUUACAGCGGGUAAGAGAGAGGUUACACCGCUGCAUAGAGGGAGGAAGAGUUGGUGGAGAUGUUGGUGAAGAUGGCGGCGGUGUUGGUGAAGAGCGCGGUGAUGAUCAUGGCCCCCGGCAGCGCUCCGGCGCCACCGGAAGCAAGGGGGAGAGAUCCCCCCUUCUUCUUCUUCUUCCUUGACCUUCUCCCUAGAUGGCAGAAGGGUUUCCCCUCUGGUCCUUGGCUGCCAUGGCUUGGGAGGGGCGAGAGCCCCUCCGAGAUUGGAUCUAUCUCUCUGUUUCUGCAUUCUCUAUUUCUUCCCCUUCACUGUUUUCUUUAUAUCUGGAGAUCCGUAACUCCGAUUGGGUUGAAUCAUUCGCCCAGAUAUUUCUCAUAAAAUUAGCUUUCUUGCGCCAAAAGAAGAGCAUCAACCGCCUUACGGAUGGCCCACGAGAGCCCAGGGUGCGCCUAGGGGUAGGGGGCGCGCCCCCUGUCUCGUGGCCACCUCGGACAUUGUUUCGCGUUGAUUCUUCCUCCGGAAAAUCCCAAAUAUUCCAAAAUAAUUGCCUGUCCAUUUUUACCCCGUUUGGAUUCCGUUUGAUAUUGGUUUUCUGUGAAACAUAAAACAUGCAACAAACAGGAACUGGCAUUGGGCACUGGAUCAAUAUGUUAGUCCCAAAAAAUAGUAUAAAAAGUUGCCAAAAGUAUAUAAAAUUUGAAUAAUAUUGGCAUGGAACAAUCAAAAAUUAUAGAUACGACAGAGACGUAUCAGCAUCCCCAAGCUUAAUUCCUGCUCGUCCUCGAGUAGGUAAAUGAUAAAAAAAAGAAUAAUUUUUUAUGUGGAAUGCUACCUAGCAUAAUCUUAAUCAUAUGUCUAAUCAUGGCAUGAAUAUUAAUACAUGAGUUAUUCAAAGCAAUAGUCUAUCAUUUGACAUAAAAAACAAUAAUACUUCGAGCGUACCAAUAAAGCAAUCGUGUCUUUUCAAAACAAGAUGGCCAAAGAAAGUUAUCCCUACAAAAUCAUAUAGUCUGGCUGCUGUUCUAUCUUCAUCACACAAAGUAUUUAAUCAUGCACAACCCCGAUGACAAGCCAAGCAUUUGUUUCAUACUUUAAUAAUCUCAAACUUUUUCAACUUUCACGCAAUACAUGAGCGUGAGCCAUGGACAUAGCACUAUAGGUGGAAUAGAAUAUGAUGGUGGGGGUUACGUGGAGAAGACAAAAAGGGAGAAGGUCUCACAUCGACUAGGCGUAUCAACGGGCUAUGGAGAUGCCCAUCAAUAGAUAUCAAUGUGAGUGAGUAGGGAUUGCCAUGCAACGGAUGCACUAGAGCUAUAACUGUAUGAAAGCUCAAACUGAAACUAAGUGGGCGUGCAUCCAACUUGCUUGCUCGUGAAGACCUCGGGCAUUUGAGGAAGCCCAUCAUUGGAAUAUACAAGCCAAGUUCUGUAAUGAACAUUCCCACUAGUAUAUGAAAGUGAAAGCAUAGAAGACUCUCUCUAUGAAGAACAUGGUGCUACUCUGAAGCACAAGUGUGGUAAAAGGAUAGUAACAUUGUCCCUUCUCUCUUUUUCUCUCAUUUUUUUUCUUUUUUUUUUCUUUUUUCUUUUUUUUUCUUUAUUAUUUUUUUUCUUUUUGGUGGGCUUCUUUGGCCUCUUUUUUUAUUUGGGCUUCUUUGGCCUCUUUUAUUUUCCAUAAAGUCCGGAGGCUCAUCCGAUGGGGGAAUCAUAGUCUCCAUCACCCUUCCUCACUGGGGCAUGCUCUAAUGAUGAUGAUCAUCACACUUUUAUUUACUUACAACUCAAUAACUAGAACAAAGAUAUGACUCUAUAUGAAUGCUUCCGGCGGUGUACCGGGAUGUGCAAUGAUCUAGCAUAGCAAUGACAUCAAAAAAACGGACAUGCCAUGAAAACAUCAUGCUAGCUAUCUUACGAUCAUGCAAAGCAAUAUGACAAUGAAUGCUCAAGUCAUGUAUAUGAUGAUAAUGGAAGUUGCAUGGCAAUAUAUCUCAGAAUGGCUAUGGAAAAGCCAUGGUAGAUAGGUAUGGUGGCUGUUUUGAGGAAGAUAUAAGGAGGCUUAUGUGUGAUAGAGCAUAUCAUAUCACGGGGUUUGGAUGCACCGGCGAAGUUUGCACCAACUCUCGAGGUGAGAAAGGGCAAUGCACGGUACCGUAGAGGCUAGCAAUGAUGGAAGGGUGAGAGUGCGUAUAAUCCAUGGACUCAACAUUAGUCAUAAAGAACUCAUAUACUUAUUGCAAAAAUCUACAAGCCAUUGAAAACAAAGUACUACGCGCAUGCUCCUAGGGGGAUAGAUUGGUAGGAAAAUACCAUCGCUCGUCCCCGACCGCCACUCAUAAGGAAGACAAUCAAUAAAUAAAAUUGUGCUCCAACUUCAUCACAAAGGGGUUCAGCAUACGUGCAUGCUACGGGAAUCACAAACCUCAACACAAAUGUCUCUACAGUAAACAGUCACCCACUAGCAUAACUCUAAUAUCACCACCUUUAUAUCACAAAACUAUUGCAAGGAAUCAAACAUAUCAUAUUCAGCGAUCUACAAGUUUAUGUAGGAUUUUAUGACUAACCAUGUGAAUGACCAAUUCCCGUCAUCUCUCUAAACAGAUAUAAGUGAAGCAAGAGAUUUUAAUUCUUUCUACAAAAGACAUGCCCACGCUCUAACAAAUAUAAGUGAAGCAAAAGAGAAUUCUACAAGUGGCGGUUGUCUAUAUGAAGAGAAACAGGCAAUCCAAACUUCAAACGAUAUAAGUGAAGCACAUGAAGCAUUCUAUAAAGCCAUACUCAAAAUAUUUAAAUGAAGUGCAAUGAGCAUUCUAUAAAUCAACCAAGGACUAUCUCAUACCAGCAUGGCGCAUAAAAAAAGUGAAAACUAAAUGCAAAAGACGCUCCAAGACUUGCACAUAAUGCAUGAACGAAACAAAUUCGAAAACAUACCGAUACUUGUUGAAGAAAGAGGGGAUGCCUUCCGGGGCAUCCCCAAGCUUAGACGCUUGAGUCUCCUUGAAUAUUUACUUGGGGUGCCUGGGGCAUCCCCAAGCUUGAGCUCUUGCAUCUCUUCCUUUUCCUCGUAUCAGGACAUCCUCGAUUAGACACUACAUCCACACAAAACUUCAACAGAAAACUCGAUAAGAUCCGUUAGUAUAAUAAAGCAAAUCACCACUCUAAGUACAGUUGCAAACCAAUUCAUAUCUUGUUUUUGCAUUGUGUCUACUGUAACGUAACUUUUUCAUGGCUUAAUCCACUAAUAUAAAUUGAUAGAUUCAUCAAAACGAGCAAACUAUGCAUCAAAAACAGAAUCUGUCAAAAACAGAACAGUCUGUAGCAAUCUGAACAUACACCAUACUUCUGAUACCCCAAAAAUUCUACCAAAAUGAGGAAAAAUAAACAAGUUGUACAGAAAGACAGUUCAAAAAGAAUUAGAAUCAAUUGACGUUCCAGUUAAAAACUUAAAAUCGUGCACUACAGCCAAAGUUUCUGUCCUGCACCGUACAAACCAACAAGCAUUGUAAACAUCCUAAAGGCAAACAUUGGCACAUUAUUUUUAUAAUACAAUGGAAUUUUACAAGGGGAUAAUUAUUUUUGAUGAAAAGUUUCUGUAAUCAAGAUUCACAAAGUUUCCGUGAGCAUGAACAAAGUUCAAGGACCUCUCCCACUUCAACAAUGCUUAUCUCUCUCACUUUCACUUUCCUUUUUGAAAAGUUUUUAGGUUCCCCUCUUUAUUUUUUUGUUUUUAAACUAUAUAAAAGCACUCAACAGAAAUAAAUGACUCUCUAAAACUUCCGGGUUGUCUCCCUGGCAGCGCUUUCUUUAAAGCCAUUAAGCUAGGCAUUUAGUGCUCAAGUAAUGGAUCCACCCGGAUCCCAAGGUAUAUAAAAGCCAAUUUUAAUUAACAAUGAUUUAUAAUUUAAUAGUGAGCACAAAGUAACAUAUAUCAAGCAACAACGAAGUCUAACUCUCUUCCUAUGCAUCGGCAUGUCAUAAAAGAAUAAUUCAUGCACACAAAGUAAAGGCCAAUGCGUAGUAUAAGCAGUUUCUUGCAAUUUCAUAGUAUGGGAAACAUAGAGAGGUGGAAAAAUAGUUCCUCUCUCAUAAUAACUGCAAGUAGGAGCAGCAAGCACAUGCAUAUUAUGUUCAUCAAAAUCAUCAUAUGCAAUGGUAAAAGUCAACCCAUAAUUAUAAUCCUUGCUAAGCGCAAACUUCUCCGAUAUAGUGUAGUUUGGAGAAUUCAAAAAGAUAAUAGGACUAUCAUGCGUGGGUGCAAUAGCAAAAAUUGCAUGUUUAACAUAAGGAACUAUAGCAAGUUCAUCUCCAUAAGCAUAAUUCAUAUUGGCAUCUUGGCCACAAGCAUAGCAAGCAUCAUCAAAAAGGGAUAUUUCAAACAAAUUCAAGGGAUCAUAGCAAUCAUCCUUCGGUAAGCACGAAGGGGAAUUAAAUAAUGUAUGAGUUGGAGGGUUACUCUCAUUAGAAGGUGGGCACGGGUAGCUAAUCCGCUCUUCCUCCUUUUGUUCUUCGCUCUCCUCAUCAUCUUUUUCAUCCAAUGAGCUCACAGUUUCAUCAAUUUCUUCUUCCAUAGCUACCUGCAAAAUAUUAGUCUCUUCUUGGACAGCGGAGAAUUUCUUCAUAAAUGCAUUAAUAUAGUAAUUGUAUUCAUCAUUUUCAUAGCAAUAUCUAAGUAUAGCAAGAUUUUCAGGCCUACAAACUGCAUCAUCAAAAUCAUCAAACGCUUUAAACAUAGAUUCAAUCUCAUAAGCACCCGUAAAAGCAACAAAUUCUUCUAUUUGUUCCACAUCAUAGUAAUCAUAUCUACCAUUAGCAUAAGAAGCCAAGGUUUCAUUAUCAUUGAAUUUGCAUGAAAAGGGAAGGUGUGGAUCCUCCACCCUAGAGCAACAAGUAUAAUCAUGCAUCACACGUAAUUGACGAGCAUACCAACGCAAAAUAAUAAAUUGAUCCCAUAAUAGUUUCCCUUUUUGUGUCGAGCGAUAAUCCCUAAAGUAUUCACGUUGAUCCAACGUGUCUCCCAUUAUAAAGUUGAAUGGGGCUUUCUCAGGAUUAUCAAAGUAGUACAUAAUAUCUUUCGCAUAUUGAGAAUCGAGGGUUUUAGGAGUUACCCCAUCCUCAUGAGUAGCAAGUAUAGCUAAUUUUUUUGGUAUUUUGCGUUCCAUAUCCAUAACUACAGAUAGAGAAUAACUUAGAACAGCAAAUAAAAAUUACUUAGUGAUAAAGCAAACAAGCACACACGAGAAUAUUCACCCCACGCUAUGACUCCCCGGCAACGGCGCCAGAAAAAGGUCUUGAUAACCCGCAAGUAUACGGGACAGUUGUAGCCUCUUUCGAUAAGUAAGAGUCUCGAACCCAACGAGGAGCUAAAGGUAGAACAAAUACUCUCUCAAGUCCUAUCGGCCACUGAUACGACUCUAUGCAUGCUUGACGUUCGCUUUACCUAGAACAAGUAUGAAACUAGAAGUACUUUGUAGGUAUGAUAGGAUAGGUUUGCAAGAUAAUAAAGAACACGUAAAUAAAAAUUAGGGGCUGUUUAGAUAAAGAAGCAAUAAAGUAAAUAUUAGUAGAGAGCUUUUUGUUACGAGAAAGUUAUUUGUCCAAGGCAAUCGAUAACUAGACUGGUAAUCAUUAUUGCAAUUCUAUUUGAGGGAGAAGCAUAAGCUAGCAUAUCAUCCCUUACUUGGAAUUCUAUGCAUUUAUGAUUGGAACUCUAGCAAGCAUCUGCAACUACUAAAGAUUCAUUAAGGUAAAAACCAACCAUAGCAUUAAAGCAUCAAGUCCCCUUUUAUCCCAUACGCAAACAACCUACUUACUCGGCUUUGUGUUUCCGUCACUCACGCAACCCACCAUAAGCAAAUCAUAAACAUAUUCCAAGCCCUACAGCGGGAAUCCCUCACGCUUGCGCGACACGGAGGGCAUAAUAGGACAGCACCAAUAAUAAAACAUGCAACUAAAACCAAUCACGAUCAUCAAUUAACCCAUAGGACAAAACGGAUCUACUCAAACAUCAUAAGAUAGCCAUACAUCAUUGGGGAAUAAUAUAUAGCGUUGAGCACCAUGUUUAAGUAGAGAUUACAGCGGGUAAGAGAGAGGUUACACCGCUGCAUAGAGGGAGGAAGAGUUGGUGGAGAUGUUGGUGAUGAUGGCGACGGUGUUGGUGAAGAUCGCGGUGAUGAUGAUGGCCCCCAGCAGCGCUCCGGCGCCACCGAAAGCAAGGGGAAGAGAGCCCCCCUACUUCUUCUUCUUCCUUGACCUUCUCCCUAGAUGGGAGAAGGGUUUCCCAUCUGGUGCUUGGCUCCCAUGGCUUGGGAGGGGCGAGAGCCCCUCCGAGAUUGGAUCUGUCUAUCUGUUUUUGCGUUCUCUGUUUCUUCACCUUCACCGUUUCCUUUAUAUCUGGAGAUCCGUAACUCCGAUUGGGGUGAAUCUUUCGCCCAGAUCUUUCUCAUAAAAUUAGCUUUCUUGCGACAAAAGAAGAGCGUCAACCGCCUUACAGGUGGCCCACGAGAGCCCAGGGCGCGCCUAGGGAUAGGGGGUGCGCCCCCCUGUCUCGUGGCCACCUCGGACACUGUUUCGCGUUGAUUCUUCCUCCGAAAAAUCCAAAAUAUUCCAAAAUAAUUCUCCGUCCGUUUUUAUCCCGUUUGGAUUCCGUAUGAUAUUGGUUUUCGGCGAAACAUAAAACAUGCAAUAGACAAGAACUGGCACUGGGCACUGGAUCAAUAUGUUAGUCCCAAAAAAUAGUAUAAAAAGUUGCCAAAAGUAUAUAAAAGUUGAAUAAUAUUGGCAUGGAACAAUAAAAAAUUAUAGACACGACGGAGACGUAUCAAGCCCCAAGGUUAAAAAUUUCUGGCAUGCCUAGAUUUGCUAUGUGCUAAUCUUGCCAUUUCUUGCCAUGUGCUAUGUUUGGUAUGUAAGUUGCUAUAAAAGACAUUUUUUUCUAUGUAUAUAUGUUGACAUAUAUUUGAUAUGAUGAAAUUUAACAUUUUCUCUUCAUUACGACAUGUCAAAGAUUCAUCGACCAAAACAUUAACAGUUCCGAGGCACCGCAGUGAACCUAGAUGACAAUGCAUGUGUUUUACAAAUUCGCCAUGUGAAAUGAAUGCAUGUAACCCAAUGAUAUCAAUGUGUACUAUGUAAAUUAACGCGUGUGUUGCAAUUUGUAUAUUUGAAUUCAUAUAAAAUGUGAUACAUAAAAUUAUCUAUUUAAUGCAUACUUUUUAUAUUGAUAUAUGAAUCAUGUGUGCAAAUGCUACCACAACAUCAAAUACACUGCCGUGUCAUCUUUUCCCCCAAAACAAAGUACUAGUGUAGCGAAAAAAUACAAGCACAUCACCAAUUCCCCAAAAUACUAGCAUUGUGCCAUUAGUAUUUUGUAUUACAUGUUGCGUGAAAGUCCCAGACAAGACACUUGUAUGUACAUUACUAUUGUCGUGCAUGCAUGUUGGAGAUAUGCCCUAGAGGCAAUCAUGUAUGAUGAUAUUUCCUAUGUGUUUAUGAAUAAAGAUAGUCCUUAGACAUUAUCAAUGAUAGUACUUGGUGGUUGGCACGCCAUACUAGAAGCCGCUACCAGCCGAGCAUGUCGGAGGUGAUCUGACCUGUGACCAAGCUGACUUGAACCUAAGGGAUCGCGCGCUUAAGAGAAGGAACCUGUGAGGCUCGGUCCGACUCCACGAGUCAGGUGUGAUCCUACUUGGACUCGGAUCCAUGCCGAACAGACUUUGGGCUUUAGGAUCCGUGUGAGGCCCAAGCGUUGAGCCCAUGACGGAUAUGCCUAUAUAAAGUGGGGGUGCAGCACACUCAUGCGAUUGAUUGCUUCGGUAUUGUUACUAGGGUUUGCAUGUGUUGCGAAUAGCCACCUCCACUCGCUGCCGACUGUGUGAUCGGACCUAGCAGUCCACCGCACGGUGUUCCUCCAGCACGCGUGGAUACCGUUAGACACGGUGCACCUGCGCCGCUCUGGUGAACUUGUACGUGGGAUCGAACGACCGGCUAUUUGAGGGAUAUCGGACGAGGAGGAGACGAUCCAUGUUGACGUGCUGCCCCAACUCUACUUCCGCUGCAUGGCACUGCAUGUCUAGUGGUAAUGAUCUGUGAUCCAUCUCCCGUAGCAUGGUCUUGGUUGUUCUGCGAGUAGCAAAAUUUUAAUUUGCAGUUGAGGCACCCUACCGUAGAACCCAACAAGGCAGACACGCCACUAGUAAGUUACUCGCUCGUCAUUAAUAACCACUUACAAGUGGCAUCAUACUAGUGGUGUGCCGACCGAACACCGCUAGUAGGCACAUGCGCAAGCUGCUAAUAAGGGGGUCUUGUACAUUGGUGGUGGGAGUCACGAUGCUCGUGGGCGAAGCUCUCAGCUAUGGUGCGGGAUGGUGGCCAUGGACGUGCAGGGGGUGGGGUGAUUGUGGUACGGCGUUCAGUGGCGGUGAUGUGGGAGGUGUCUUCAUGACUAGUUGUAGUAUGUUGCAUAGGCUGCUGCCCUCUUCCUCAAGGUGCCACCCUCGAGUACAUGGUUGAGGGCUCUCAUGACUUCGAGAAAUGUGCUCUCUGUGCUACCAGCCAUUUUCUUGGAGUUUUUUUAUCUUUUUUCAAAAAGGAGAAUAACCUUGGCCUCUGCAUCAAACAAUGCACUCAUCCAUCUUUAUUAAAUUAUUCAAUAGAGACCGGCACAAUAAAUACAAGGAUCAAUCCAAAGCCACCUUUCCUACGAACUAUGUCGCUACACCUAUAAGCUUGAUGAUGAACCCCGACCGCACCAAUGCACACCAUCUAAUCUGGUGGCCAACCGAUGCACACCAUCCAAAGCCACCUUUCCUGCGAGCCGAUAUCACCAACCGUCCUAGCAAACCCAACGCGCACACCGCAUGCGCGUGCUUCAGGAUCCUGCGCUACCAUCUACCGCCGUUCCAUCUUCAAGAGUGAUCCUUGGACUGACCUUGCUAGGCCCAACUGUCGUCGAUGUUGUCAUGAUGUUAGACAAUGCCACUAGCCUCCGUGCGUCCAUCAACCCACCUCCAACACCGAUACUCCACCGCACCAUGCCGCCGAGACCCACCGUUCUCGAUGCGGUAGAUUUUUUUUAGAAAAGGAGGAUGACCCCCGGCCUCUGCAUCUGGGCGAUGCAUGGCCACUUUAUUAAUUAUUCUCACAAGACCUUAUAAAGUCAUACAGCAGUAAGACUGAAGCCACCUUCUAAGCAACAACUGUGGCUACACCUACCAGUUGAUGAAGGGGCGCUGAUAGUCUGGGCCUAAUACCAAACAGACAUCCCAGCCAAACCUAAACAUCUAAGACCUGAGGUCCCAACCAGGACGCCUGCCUGGUAUGGGGCACCUACUAGUCCGGCGCACUCCUCAGCCAGGACGCCUGUCGGGUAUGGGGCCGCCGCAGCCACCUGCCACGAGUCUAUCUUCAGAGUUGUACUGUUGCAUCUACCGUGCCAGGUCUCUCAGCCAUCGACGCCACCACGACGCCAAACAACGUCGUCCUCCUACGUGAGUCCAUCCUCCCACAUCGAACUCCAAAUCUGCACUGUGCCAUGCCGUCCAGAUCCGUCGCCAUCAAUGUAUGGAUGAAGCACCGCUCCACCAAAGAAGCCGUCCGCUGGUCCCGCGAAGCCGAGUGCACCUCCAAGAAUGCUGCCCCCAAGGGGGUUACGACACAUGAUUGCCGCCAACAUCCAAUCAGUUGAUCUAGGGUUUCCCCCGGAGGUAUUGAGUGGAGUUGGGAGCUUCACCUCGAUGAUGCCUUCAUGAAGGAAACGAUGAUAAGGGCAUCGUCAUCACCAUCUCAGGCCAUCGACCGAAGAUCAGGUUUUCACCCGGAUCUGUCCCAAGAAAUCCACCAACAACCUGUGCACCGUCUCGACCUCCUUCAAAGCCCCAGAUCCAGCCGCCUAGAUCCGGCGACCAACCGCAGCAACAGUGCCACCGUGGGACUCCUGGCGCACCGGCCACUGCUUGAGUGUGCCACCACUGGAUCCUAGGAGGAGGGCUCCCAUCCCGCCUCGCCAAGCCGCGAGACACACCAAGAAGGAUCCCGCGCGCUCGUCGCCGUCUCUGAUCCGAACCAAUCCAUAGCAGAUCGCUGUCACAGAUCCGCCUUGGACAGGGACUGCACCACGCCAUGCCUCCGCGGGAAGCCCGAGCUUCACCGGCCUCCACCCUCCAUGGCCGCUGCCCCUGGAUCCAGACAGAACUUUGCCGCUGCCACCGGCCAACUUCCGCCGCCGCCGACCGGCCAAGCUGCCAGUCACUGCAUGACCACGUGAGCACAGGCAGCCGGCCGACCAACUCUGACGAAGAAGAAGGCCACCACCACCAAGCCUAGGGCCGGCGCCCUGGACAUCCUCGUGUUGCAGAUCAAGUCUAGGAGCAGUGCCCCACCGACGGUGAUUGAGACCGAUAGCACAAUGAAUUAGCCCGACAUGAGUCAAGGCCAGAUCCAUCAUUGCUGGUGCCGUCCUCCCCCGCCACCGCCGCACCACUUCCUUGUCGCCGCUGAUCUACACCACCGCCGUCGAUCUGGCUGGAGAGGAGCGCCGCCUCCCAACCAAAUCGAGAUCCAAGGAGAAACCGCCGCCGCCGCCACGCCACAAGGGCUUUGCCCUGUGACGCCCUGGGCGACAGCGGCGGAGGGGAGCGGAGGAGGCACGAGGUUGUAGGAGGAGGGAGGGGGCUCCCCGGUGCGGGGCGGCGCCGCCGCACGGGGGAGGGACAGGAGGGACGGGGCUGUUACGUCUCUUGAUGCGGUAGAUGCGACACCACUCCACCUCUUGGCCCCUUCAUUCUCGGUACCUACUCCAAAUAGUGCCCCCAGGAGAGAGAAUGACACAAGUCCAUGUCAUCAUCCGAUUUGGGAGACCCAGAUCUGGGGUUUCUCCCAGAGCAGAUGCCUCUUAGAGGAAGAAGGGCACGCCAUCUGCAGUUGCCAACGAACCAAACGGUGCCCAGCAUCACAACGAGCCAUUUUCCUGGAGUUGUCUUGUUGUUCUUCAGCAUCUUUGUACAAUGCCUUAUGUGCAUGUGUUGUGGUGUCAUGUCGUGUUGUGUUGUAUGUUCUGAAUUGCAUGAUUUGUAUAUAAAGUGGAGCGGAAGUCUUUUUGAUAAACAAUAAGAUCAAUUACUUCAGUUGAAACUUGAAAGUGCAUUUUUUGGCUUUGACAACGGAAGUCAGGGCCAAGGCCGACCUCAUGCGCAGGAAAAGGGACAAGCACACGUACAUCCCAUAUGUACCCAAGCUCUUUUGUUGUUUUGGUUGCUUGUUGUUUGCUUCCGCUUAAUCAUACAAGAUUAUAGUUGGUUAAUAUAUUUCCUUGAAUAAUGCAUUAUCAUCUGAUUUCUUGAUUAGAUCGAUGUGCUCUCUAGUUUCAAACAGUUCUGGACAGGGCCUAUUUUGUUCAAUUGGAUAAUUUCAGUGCACAAAUUUAUCGAAUCGAAAUAAAUCAAUUUAUUUCCUCUGGUUUCCCUUUUUCUAGGAACCUAUUUGUUGGCAUUCCAUAGGACAUAUUUUUUGAGAAACCUAACCAAAUUAAUAUACAAAAAACUCACCUUUACUUAAUUGUGUCCCAGCCAUAUAUGCCUUCCCACUGGUUUNNNNNNNNNNNNNNNNNNNNNNNNNNNNNNNNNNNNNNNNNNNNNNNNNNNNNNNNNNNNNNNNNNNNNNNNNNNNNNNNNNNNNNNNNNNNNNNNNNNNNNNNNNNNNNNNNNNNNNNNNNNNNNNNNNNNNNNNNNNNNNNNNNNNNNNNNNNNNNNNNNNNNNNNNNNNNNNNNNNNNNNNNNNNNNNNNNNNNNNNNNNNNNNNNNNNNNNNNNNNNNNNNNNNNNNNNNNNNNNNNNNNNNNNNNGUAGCAUAACCUGAGUCGCCGUAAUUGGUCUGGGUCAACAUAUCAGCCAUUGUAUUGAUCCCCAAACUCGCGCACAACAUGCCACAUGAUUGGUUCACCGCGGCUGACCUCCUUGCCAUUGGAGAUCGUUGCAUGCGGCGCACCUUUCUUUGGACUGUCCGACAUCUUCACAUGGCCAAGAGCACGUGGAUACGAUACUGAAUGUUUGUCAGUGACCCAAGAUUACUCAUGCAAUUAGCUGGACACAUCUGAGGUUUUACACACUAGCAAACAUAGAGCACACAUGGAAUUUGAUGCCAUGAAAACUUGCUACAGCUUCUUUAUUUGGAAUACAGAGAGAAAUAAGGGUCGUUGCGUGACCGACCUAAACACACACCACGUUCCUAAUGACUCGUGCCACCCCACGAAUCAGAUCGUGCGUGCAUGAUCUACAGCUCCACUAUUAUCGCGUGUGAUCCGAUGUGCCAUGCCAUCCCAUGACUCGGUUCACGACACGGUAGAAACUGGAGCGACCCCAACCUGAUGCAUGGACUCGACGCAAACAUGCUUGCCGUCAAGACCGACUCUCAGCGCAUACCGCGUGCUCGCAGGCAGUUCUGUGGCGCGUUAUUUGGAACAAACAAAUUGAAAGGAUUUUUUUUAAGGCAUGCACUAAGUUUACUUCAAUGGAUCAGCCCUCGAUCCAAAAAACCCACAUCGCGAAGUGGUCUUAGUGGAUCUCGUCACUCUCCGAGU
rnacentral:lncRNA from 1 species